CGUUCUGCAUGUACUCCUAUGCGUUGUACCUGCACGAGAUUCCUCUAUCGUCUAUGGGGGAAUGGUUAGCGAAUAGCAGUUGUACAAAUCAUACCUCGGGUUAGGUAACGGGAGUUCACUUGUACAACCGGGAUAGAAAAAUAUUAAAGAUCCAUCCGCUCCAUGCUUAAGAGUAUGUCCUUGCACUAGAUAUGAUUCAUCGAUAUAAACACGAGGGGUUGAAAUGUAAGCAAUUUGUUCAUUUGAAAUAACCCCAAACCCUCUUGCUAUACGAGUGAUCAAAGAAGUGCAUUCAAUAGGAGCGUAGAACUUUAUACUUUAUAGCCAUUGCUUAAUCAUAGGUGUCACAUACCACAAGUUUGGAUGUAUGGAAAGCAUGGAAAUGGUGGAUGAAGUAAAAUAAAUAAAACUCUUGCCUAGAAAUUUCAUGUUUAAUUGCUUGUGCAUUUUGUGGUGUUUGCAUAUGCAUUAUAGGAGCAUAUUCUUUCUUAAGCAAAACUAAUGGACUUAAGAAAAAUACUCGGAACAACUCAAAAAUCUGGGAAAAAUUUGUAUUAACUCCUUGCUGACCUUAGAAACCAAAUGUGAAUUUUAGUUUAAUUUAUCAACUCAUUAGAUGGACCAAACAAUUCUCUAAGCACUCUAAAGUCAGGAUUUUGACAGAUUCUCUGGAGCACUUUGAAACCUUGCCAAAAUUCGACCUUGGACUUCUAGGCUGUAGGACUUGAUCCAAACUAUAGUAUAAAUAUUACUUUACAACUUUGCCAUUGGUCUCUAGCUCUAAAUCUGCCUGGAAAUAAUUUUAAACCGAGCACAAAGUUGGAAUUCCACCUCUAUUCCAGACUUAGCCAAAACUCCAGAUCUCCUCUCCCUCUCUCACACAAGUCACUGCCAGGUGGACCAUAGGUCGUGUGGGGGCCCUCUUUUCAGCCUCACAUUGUUCUCCAAACGGGCCACGGCUCAGAACAUGCGCGCCACGCGCGGGAGCACGCGUCGGCAGCGGUGAAGAGCCGCUCCUCCUCCAUUCCUUCGCCGACGACGACCGUAGCAGCCGCGUCGCCGAACCAGCUCUCCGUUGCCAAGACUUCGCCGAGCCGCGUUCGCUACUUGGUGAGCUUCCUAGUAAAUACAUGCAUGUAUAGAUCAAGCCUCAAAACCCAUAUGCAUGUGCAAGCCGAGCUUAAUCGCCGCUUCCAACACCCUAACGGCCGCUAUAGAGCCCUAAAGCUUGCAAGAAAGCCACCAAUGGGUUCGCAUGGUUUUUCUCUACACUUUUCGUUUCGGGAGCUUGAGCUGAAUCGCCGCUGUUCGGCGCUGGUGAUGUCGGGAAGCUCGCGGGAGAGCUGCUCCUCUGCUCUGUCCAGAGCAAGGGCAUGACUUGUGAAAUUUAAAUACUUCCAGGGGUGUUUAAGAAAAACUAUCAGAUACUUACAUGUGGGGUCGUGUACUAAGCCGUAAAUAACUUAAAAAUCAAGUUCCUUUUUGAAUAAAAUCCUGGAACACGUGCUAGCGGCUGCGUGAUCUAUUUCCCGAGAACCCAGGGGCUUAUGCGCAAAAGUGUAGUCGCUGACUGGUGGACCCGAGAGAGGAAAAUGAUUUGAGAAAAUUAGAGAAAAUGCAAAACUAGUUUCUAAUCAACUGAAAAAUGGUAAAACUUUAGAAAUUCAUAGAAAAUUCAUCCUAACUCUAAAGUUGGCAAACUAAAUUUUUUUGGAAUCAUAUUUUUAUGCUCUGCAUUAUGAAAAUGUUUAACUUAACAGAAUCAUGAAGAUUUAUGUCUCAAAAAUAAAAAAUGCAUGUAGGUCUAUAUUUAACGAGAAGACACUUUAAAAAUUUGUAACUUUUACGUGAAAAUUGUUAAAAUAAAAAUUCUUUCACUAAAAAUCAAAUUAACACAGAGCAUACCAACUCCAUAAAAAGCAUUCAUUUUAGAGCAUGUUGGAUUUUUAUGUGUGUCUAUAAUUUUGAUUUUUGCAUUAUGUAUGUUUAGAUGAUUCGCAGCCAAAUCACGAGGAGACCAACUUCGUAGCUGAGCAAGGAGAGGAAGAGCAAGGCAAGCCACCUCUCCUCUUUGAUCACAUUGAACCUAUGAUUUGGAGGUUUUUGAAAAGAAUUGCAAAUAGUGUAUGUCAAUUGUACACUAAUCCGUUAAAACUUUGUAAAAUUUAUUAGAACAACUCCUUAACUUGCAUUAUUACCUAAACUCCACCAAAGACCUUAACCACUAUUCCAAGCCUUAGGAACAAUUAAAAUUGUCACAUUAAGUUUGAUACUUAAGGACACAAGUCUAUAAAAAUGCUUAGCCAUGCUUAGAAAUGUGUUUACUUACCAUUUGGGCUCAAUUAUGUAUAUAAAAUGAACUACUUUACGAUCUGGAUUAAAAUGAUAAAAUGUGAUAUUUGUUAAAUAAAAUGUUGGAAAAUGAGGACUUUAGGUUUGGGCCUCAUGUGGUACACAUAUGAUAUUUAGUUGUGUGCCGAUAGGGGGAGAGUGUUCCCUGACCAACCUAAGGACUUCACUCAAUGUCAGUUCGUUUCGUAUACAGUGCAGCCACAUUUGCUAGUAUGGGAUAGCCCAAGCUUAGUAAAUUAUUUAUGGUUAGCAUUACAUUUUGGUAGGCCGGUGUGUAUGAGUUUGUAUAACUCAGAGGAACUUUCUAUUUACCCCGAUGUGAUAGUUUAGGUGACUAAGUCUGUCCAAUACAACGGUAUUGUGCCACGUGGUGGGUUCCCAUUGUGUCAGCCACCUCGGCGUUAAGUUUAAGGUGUGGGCCCGCCACUUAACGAUUCUACGUCAUAUAUCGAGUAUGGCUUAGGAUGGAGAAACACGUAUCGUGCUGGUGUAAGGCUAAAUCAUGAAUUUUGGAAGGGCUUUGUUGUGAGUAAUAAAUCGGGUAUUUAUGUAUCGCGUGCCAUGCUUUGCAUGAUUAUUAUUUCGCAUCAUGUGGGUAAAGUGUACAUACUCUGCAGAGUUAAAACUAAUCGAUUAGAAGUGCUCGCGGUUAUGAGCGGCGUGUGAAUAUGUCAUGAGUAUAGACUUUGUGUUUUAUUCUUCCUAAAGCUGAAUUUAAACUUCAAAUGUGAUGAGAUAAGUGGAUUAUAUCCUUGCUGCCAUGGAAGGCAAUAAGGAGCUAUGUUAUGUGUUUAACAUCUACUUUGAUGCCCAUUUGAUAAGUGUAUGCUUGCUGAAAUUUAAAUGAAAAUAAAUCUGAAUUUGAAAUGAUGUUUGCAAAGAACGUAUGCUUUAUGCUGAAAAUUGCCAAUGUAAGCUUUACUUUGAAUAUGCCAUGCUUGUAGACUGUUAGGCUUGCUUGGUGCUUGCCAGUACAAUUUAUUUGUACUGACUAUUGCUUGUAUUAUUGUAUUGUUGUAUGUUUAGACUUGGUUGCAGGUGAGAUCACUCCUAAGGAGGAUGAUUUCGCAGGGGAUGUUUCGUUCUUCUAGGAUGGUUCUUACUAGGGUCUACCAUAGUCGGUUGCAUGAAAGAUCUUUUGGGUAGAAGAUGCUUCCACGAACCUAACUAUUUGGCCGGUCGGCCAUGUGUAUCUAAGCACUAUGUUGUAUGAUUCUAAGACUUAGAACAAAGAACUCCCUAAGUUUGAGAUAUCAUGUGCUUGGAUGAAAGUGUUUAGUGUGAUCCUUUUGUUAGGAACAUAUUAAACAUUAGUAUGAGUUAAAGAUAUUUGAGAUGUUGCAGAUCUUUAGCCAUUUUUGUCAAGUCUCCUGAAUGUGUAACACAUCUAGUCGCCACCUUCGUGUGGUUUAACAGGCACAUCUCAGGCUGAAGUUAUCUGGCAGGCUAAAGGCCUAACAAGGUCUCAUAUAUCUUUCUCUCGGUGCGUCGAAUUUCUUAAUAUGUUUGAUGGAAGAAUUGAGUUUAGCUAUUCAUCCUUCAAAUAUAAUAAGAGGUUCGGAGUGCUUCCGACAGCAUUGGUAUCAGAGCCAAGACUGACCGCAGGAACCCUUUUAAGACUGAAUGGUAGUAAGGCUUCAAAAGAAAAUAUUUUGAGGGUAAUGUCCUCACUAAUAAUAUUUUUUUGCAAAAUUUAAUCUAUUCUUACUUCUUAGCCCUUUUGGAUAAAUUCCUUUCCUAUGAAUCUUGUUUUGAUUUUAAAACUCCACCUUAUUCUAUAGAAUCGGAUGAUAUAUGAAUAAGAAAAAGUAGUAACUCAUAGAGAAGACUAAGGAAUGAAUGAAACAAAUUCGAUUCAAGUUUGUACUUGAAUGAUUUGAAAACUUCUCAGUAAUAAAUAGCUAAUUUCUCCUUUCCAAAGCUGAAUUCAAAAAAUUAUUUUUUUAUCGAUGGCCUAGAAGGUGGUAGUAUGGGGCAGGAUGGAAUUGAUUUGUUUUUAACCAUAGAUUUCUUGUCAUAUAAAGGCCACUAGAUUUUUGUGAAGCCUCUACAUUAAGUUCUUAGCAUGUCCUAAUUUUGGUGCGAAUUUUACAACCUUGCAUCUUAUUUUAAAAAUUGCAAAAGUCCAGGCUGCGCAGAUUCUAGAGGAUGUAGCAGUCGUCCCUCACAUUUUUUCACAGACCAGUAUGCAGUAGCUAAAUUUUCGCCAAUUUCCAGUAGCUACCCAACUUAAUUAUGAAUCCCUAGAAUUUUUGCAUGUCUGGACAUUGGGUUAAAAAUUCGAACAGCACAGAUCAACCUAUAGUUUCAGUACUGCAUCAUCUAGUUUAGAAAUUCAUUAUAGAUAAAUAUAUGUGUGUAAAAAUUGUAAAUCUUAUACCAUAAUGUGGAUAUAACCAGGGAAUCCUUAGGCAUGUAUUUAACCAAGAAAUUUAUGCAUUCACAUGUUGAAAUAAGGUCAACCUAUUGCAUAAUAGUAUGCUGGACAGAACAUGAUAAAAUAACCAUAACACCAUUUCCGAGAUCCUAAUGAUUUUCAAUUGAAAUUCUAAUUGGUCUAUAUUUCCAAAUCUUGUAGGUGUCUUCUGUGUGGCGACCACUAGACUAUUCCGGAGGUUAUGAGGAAGGAUCAUUGCCUCACAUCUUGUGGCUCAUGCUGCAACAUCUUGGCCAUAACCACCCAACAGAGUAUCAUUUCUUUUCUCUUGAACGGAGUUCAUCUCUCCGAGCUUAUAUGGCUGAGCUGUGUAUAUAGGGAAUUUGGAUCCAUGAACCAUCCCUUUACUUUCAAGCUUGUGGUUGGGAUGCACCCUGUGUAUACAGGCUGACGGAGCUCGUGGCUCCUCACCGGGAGACCGCGCAGGCCCCCCUUUGCCGGUUCGGCCGGGGGCUUAGGGUGAGAUCUCAAGCUCUCUCUGUGUGUGGAAAGAUCGCGUGCUAGGAAGAAACGCGAGACACAAGCGAUGUAUACAGGUUCGGGCCGCUGAGAAGCGUAAUACCCUACUCCUGUGUUUUGGUGGAUCUGUGUAUGAAGGGGCUACAAAGUGUGAGCCAACCUCUCCCUCGUUCUAGGCUCUGAAUCUGGCAAGAAUCAAUCCCCCCCUCUAUGGGCAAGGUCCUCCUUUUAUACUUCAAGGGGAUACCACAUGCACCCUUCUCUUUCCAAACUGGACUGUUCUUUUUCUCUUGAAUGGGCGGAGAUCAGCACGGUUGCUGUCCGAACGACGCUCCGAUGGGACAGCCCACACCUACCUCCACUUCCGCCGGGGGUGAGCGCGUCGUGGGAACAUGGCUGUGCGCUGACGAUAUGAUCAGUGUCAGACCGAUCACAAAUCGGUCAUUCUUGUCCACCGCGUGUAAUCUUGGCAACGUGCAUGUUUGCCCUUCUUCACACAACAUCUUGCCUGUAAUGGUUAGGAUGAAGCCUGGCAUAUAUCGACCGGGUCUAACGUGUCAUCUCUAAGAGAUAACACGCUUAACGCCGGCUUGAGACGAGUGCCUAGAGGCUUUCGUCUUGACGGGAUGGGGCAUGGCGUGCGUCAGACCGCCAGUCGCCACCUAACCCGUGAUCUGACCGGUCUGUGACUGGUCACAGACCGGAUAAAGGGACGCGCCGUGCUGCACUGCAUGCAGCGUGACACGCUUGACCAGACUGCAAUAAAUGCUGUUAGGUGAGCACAGCUGUGCUCACUUAUCCCAUAUACGUGGCGCAGACUUCCUAAAGGGGGUCGGGGUGCCUCGGCCCUCGGGGCCGGGGCAAGCGCAACCCGACCCCCCCUCGGGGGAAAUCAGGAGGAGGGCGGACACCUCACCCUCGGGCCCGACGUCCCCGAAGGUGCCAGGCCACGUGGGCGAUUGUGUCUGCCUCAAGCCUCUGGUCAUGAUACUCCCGGUCCCAUAUCACCGACAGUAGCCCCCGGCGUUAUGCCAGAGCAAUUUCCCUUCCCAAGGGAAGCGGUCAGGUGUGACGCCACUCCUAAAGCCUGGUGACAGGUGGGACCGGUCUCCGUAAUUGGGCAAAAUACCCAACGGUCUCAAUCCAUGCACAUCGGUAUUGAUAACUUUGGCUGUCCAUAAUGGGCGGUCUAUUCAGACUGCCACACCACUUGAGCAGCGCGCGAAUCUGGGUGAGCAGAUUUGUCUCGCUCGGAGAUACGGUAACGCCGCUUCGGUCGGCGAGCGUAAUUAACGCGCGCACGAUACAAUCCGUUUCGAUUACCACAACCGCAUAUCCACUUCAUGCGCCGUAAGCGGGCGAAUGGGAUUAGUGGAAGCGUGGGCACGGGAAACGAGGGAGCGAGAUAGCGAGAUACGAGGGAGCGAGGUAGUGGGCGCGAGAAACGAGGAGCCAGGCCCAGCGAUGGCAAGGGUAUAAAAGCAUCGAGAAAAGGAUUUACUCCCUUCCUUUCGCCAUUGUUCCUCUUGCCUUCGCCGCCUGAGCUCUAACUCUUUCUCUGCUACGCCCUACCUUCGCCACACGCGCUCGUUCCCAAUCAUCUCUUCCUCCACCGCCAUGGCACGGGGCUCUGCUCUGCUCGACGGCAGUGUGCUGCCGCCUUCCCGCAUCGUGAAUGAGAGGCACGCCGGACUGCCGCGCCGCUUCAUGCCGGAGUCCGCCACCGGUCGGGAGAUUGUGAUGCUGGGCGAGGGGCGCCCGGCACCAGACUACCCGGGGCGGUCCAUCUUCUUCCUCCCCUUCGCAAUGGCUGGGCUGGUCCCGCCAUUUUCUCAUUUCUUCAUGGAUGUCCUGGAGUUCUACGAUCUCCAGAUGGCGCACCUCACCCCCAAUGCGGUGAUGACAUUGGCCAUCUUCGCACACCUGUGCGAGAUGUUCAUUGGGGUGCGCCCCUCUCUUCAGCUGUUCCGGUGGUUCUUCACCGUGCAGUCGGUGUCACCGCCAUCGGUGGUUGGCGGCUGCUACUUCCAGCCGCGGGGGCCGGUGUUGAACCGCUACAUCCCCUGCGUCCUCCGCAAGAAGUGGGACGACUGGAAGAGCGACUGGUUCUACACCCCCCUCGCCGACGAAGCGCGCCUCCGACUUCCGAGCCAGCCCCCGGCGCAGGACUCCAGCUGGCGGGCGCCGGUAGAUCUGGGGGAGGAGUACGACGCCGUCCUCGACCGCCUGGCGGGCCUGCGAUCCCAGGGGCUCACCGGGGCCAUGGUAUUCGGCGAUUACCUCCGUCGCCGGAUUGCGCCGCUCCAACGGCGCGCCCGGAGCGCCUGGGAGUACACUGGGCCUGAAGACUACAUGCGGACCCAUCAGGGAACCAGAUGGGAUUGGGCUCCUGAGGACUUCAAGAUCGUAGUCCAAAGGGUGCUUAAUCUUAGCUCCGCGGAGGCGUCUCGCCUUCCUCAGGAGAUCCUCCCCCUCUGCAUCGAUCCCGACCGCGUCUCCAUUCUAUCCAUUAUGCUGGGGGUCGGGGCCUCAGAGGAGAGAGCCCCUAAGGGCAACGACGGCGCGGGCGAGCGCCGCCGGGGGAAACAAUCUGCCCCGGGAGGGGGUCGUGCUUCUGGGCCCCGCGUCGGGGGCUCGGGGAGCAGCCGCCCUGCCGACGCCCCGGGGAAGAGGAAGCUGGGAGGAACACCUCCCCCAUCUCCCCCCCGAGGGGGCGGGGCGGUGCGUACCAGCGGCCGGCGCCCGGAGGGGGCUGCGCCGACAUCUCAGCCCGAGGGGGAGCGCAAGAAGAAGCGGCUCCGCAAGAUGGGGGAGACGGAACCAGCCCGGGGAAACCUAAUUUCCCCCCCAAGGUGGUCAUUCAACCGACCCCCUCGCAGGUUCGUCUUACUCUCAUUGCAACCAUCUUUCUCCAAAAAGAAGUUUUUUCUUGCUCACUUUGUUCGUCUUCUGGCUUUUUCUUCUGCUUCAGAGAUGUCCCGUCGCAUUCCUCCCGCCACCCCAAGUCCGGCCAGCCCGAGGCCGAAGAUCCAGCGGCCGCAGAGGAGCGGAGGCGAGAGUCUGACCGGCGUGAAGCCGCAGCCCGCCUUCAGGAAGCUGAAGAGGCCGCCCGGGAGGCCGCCCGGGUUCGCCAAGCGGAGGAAACUGCUCGGGAGGAGGCCGCCCGGGCUCGCCAAGCCGAAGAAGCUGCCCGGGAGGAGGCCGCCCGGGCUCGCCAGGCUGAGGCGGCAGCUGCUGCUGGCGCGUCACUCGGGCCCACUCCCUCGGGCGGCCCUCAGGCGACAUCCUCCGAGGCGGCUCGCGACGAGGCCGCGGGCGCGUCGCCUGGGCCUACCUCACCGGGCGACGCCCAGGACCAAACGGGCCCGGGGGACAUCCCCGAGCUCAGCGUAUCCUCCGGGGGGCCAAGCCGCGUCGCUUUUUCUCCAAGGCGGCUUUUCUCCUCCUCUUCCAUCGCCCCGGUGAGCGCCGAGCCCAUUAUGCAGGCCUUGGCCGCCGCAAACACCGCGGUGCUAGACGGAUUUAGCGCCCAGGUGGAGGCCUUGCGAGCGGAACGAGCGGAGCUCGAGGCCGCAUGGGCGCGCGUCGAGGAGGGGCGGCGCUCGGUGGACGCCAUGGUGGAGGUGGGCCGUAAGGCUCACCGCCGCCACAUCUCGGAGCUCGAAGCCCGCAAGGCGGCGCUGGCGGAGAUCGCCCGAGAGGUGGAGGAGGAGCGAGAGGCCGCCCUUAUCGCCACCACCACGAUGGUCGAGGCGCAAGACACCCUCCGUCUUCAGCACGCAAGCUGGGAGGCGGAGCUGAAGAGCAAGCUCGACGCCGCCCAAGGGGUUCUCGACUCCGCCGCUGCCCGAGAGCGGCGGGCAACGGAAGCCGAAGCGGCGUCCCGGCGGCGCGAGGAGGCCCUUGAGGCCCGUGCCAUGGCGCUGGAAGAACAUGCCGGCGCCGUGGAGAGGGGCUUGAUGGACCGCGAGGCCGCCACUGCUCUCCGGGAGGCGACGCUGGCGGCGCACGAGGCCGCCUGCGCCGAGGAGGAGUCCGCGCUCCGCCUUCGCGAGGAUGCACUCGCCGAGCGGGAGCGGGCUCUCGAGGAGGCCGAGGCCACGACGCAACGGCUGGCGGACAGCCUCUCCCUCCGCGAGGCGGCGCAGGAGGAGCAGGCGCGCCGCAACCUUGAAAGCGUCCGCGCCGAGAGAGCCGCGCUGGAGCAGCGGGCUGCUGGCCUCGAGGCGCGGGAGAAGGAGCUAGACGCGAGGGCGCCUAUCGGCGGGGCGGCCGCGGGCGAAAGCGACUUAGCCGCUCGCCUCGCGGCUGCCGAACACACCGUCGCUGACAUGCAGCGCGCGCUGGACUCCUCCACCGGGGAGGCCGAGGCCCUUCGCUUGGCGGGCGAGAUCGGGCCCGACAUGCUUUGGGAUGCGGUCUCCCGCAUGAAGCGCGCCGGUCGGCAAGCGGGCCUCUGGGGAGGCCAGACGUCGGUGCCCCCCACCAAUCUGGAAGGCCUCGCUCCGCACCUCAACAGGAUGGCUUGGGUUCUCGAGCGACUCCCCGAGGAGCUUGAGAAGACCAUCAAGGCAUCCUCGAGGGACCUCGCCCGGGGGGCGGUUGAACUCGUGCUGGCGAGCUACCAGGCCCGGGAUCCCAACUUCUCCCCCUGGAUGGCGCUGGAGGAGUUCCCUCCCGGGACCGAGGACGAGGCGCGCGCGCGGGUCGGGGAUGCUGCUGACCACAUCGUCAACGGCUUCGAGGGCUCGGCCCCUCGGCUCGCGUUCGCCCCCAGCUCCGACGAGGAAGGCGACACCAGCAGCGAGGACGGCGGUGGCGACGAGGCCGGCGACCCGGGCGCAUAUGAAUGAGCCCCCAGGCCCCCGCCACUCUUAUCUUUUUUCUUGUUCUUUCUUCUAAGGCCUUCAUGCCUCUUUUUUGUACAAUUUUAACUUAAUCUGCAAUGAGAAAUGAUGAAAAAUUUUUGUGUUAGUUUUAUUUUGCUAUAUAUAUGAGUUGAGGAUGAUCUGUGCCAUGGUCCUUUUGCGACUUAGCUUGGAAUAAGGGCUCGCGCCCAAGUCCCGGUCCUCGAAUGGCUCGGGUCGGGGCUAGUGCCUGGGGAGAUCCGCAUGUCGAGACUGGCCAGGCCGGGAACGUGGUGACCGAGGGGUAUGGGUGACCCGAUUGUGGGUUUUUGCCGAUUCCCCCCCGGAGUUCACCACGCCCCGGGGCACGGCUCGGUUCUGGGCCCCGUUUGGCGAUUUUAGCUGACCGAACCGAGCCCCCGAGGGCAAGGUUGAGCACGAGUGACAUUAUUUCAAGUCAAGAUUCUUCAAAAGGAAAAAACGGCACAGACACAACCUUUAGGAAAUUGAAACUGCUUCUAUUGAAAUGCUGAAAGGAAUAUAUGUGCAUGUGUGGUAGCCCCCGGCUAACCCUGCACACCCGAGGGGGGGGUGCGGGGUUAGCCCGAGCCAAAACCUGACACCCGACCCCCCCUUCAGGGGUAGAAGCGACGAAGGUGUUCAAUGUUCCACGGGUUUGGCAGCUCCGUGCCGUCGCCCGUGGCCAGCCGUACCGAGCCCGGCCGGGGGACACCGAUCACUCGAUACGGACCCUCCCACAUUGGUGAGAGUUUGCUCAAUCCAGCACGCGUUUGGACGCGGCGUAGGACGAGGUCGUCGACGCAGAGUGAUCGGGCCCGGACGUGGCGCUGAUGGUAGCGCCGCAGGCUCUGCUGGUAGCGCGCAGCUCGGAGGGCCGCGCGCCGCCUUCGCUCUUCCAAGUAGUCGAGGUCAUCUCUACGAAGCUGAUCUUGAUCAGCCUCGCAGUACAUGGUGGCCCGAGGAGACCUCAGGGUGAGCUCAGAUGGGAGAACCGCUUCUGCGCCGUAGACGAGGAAGAAAGGCGUUUCCCCGGUCGCUCGGCUUGGUGUGGUUCGGUUCGCCCAGAGCACCGCUGGCAACUCCUCGAUCCAUGAAUCGCCGUGCUUCUUGAGAAUAUUGAAGGUCUUGGUUUUAAGGCCUUUGAGGAUUUCUGCAUUGGCGCGCUCCACUUGGCCAUUGCUUCUGGGGUGGGCAGGUGAGGCGAAGCAGAGCUUGAUGCCCAUGUCUUCGCAGUAGUCGCCGAAGAGCUCACUAGUGAAUUGGGUGCCAUUAUCCGUAAUAAUACGGUUAGGCACUCCAAAACGGGCCGUGAUGCCCUUAAUAAAUUUAAGAGCAGAGUGCUUAUCGAUCUUGACAACCGGAUAAGCCUCGGGCCACUUAGUGAACUUGUCGAUCGCAACAUACAGGUACUCAAACCCGCCCGGGGCCCGUUUGAACGGUCCCAGGAUAUCAAGCCCCCAGACAGCAAAUGGCCAUGACAGUGGUAUGAUCUGCAGGGCCUGGGCCGGCUGAUGAAUUUGCUUGGCGUGGAACUGACACGCUCUGCAUCGCCGGACCAGAUCAACUGCGUCAUUGAGAGCUGUCGGCCAAUAAAAUCCUUGACGAAAGGCCUUGCCAACCAGGGUGCGCGAGGCGGAAUGGGCUCCGCACUCGCCCUCAUGGAUGUCAGCAAGAAGCUCAACGCCUUGUUCCUGAGGAAUGCACUUCAGGAGGAUUCCGUUAGCCGCGCGCCGAUAGAGGGUCCCUUCUACCAGCACAUAGCGUUUGGAAAUGCGUUGUACGCGUUCACUCCCUUCGCGGUCCUCAGGUAGAGUCUUAUCUGUGAGGUAUGUUUGGAUCUCAGAGAUCCAAGCAAUCAAUCUAAGGGAGCUUGGAACACUCUCUUCGGGUCCCGAGGCCUGGACUCCGACGGGCCUCGGGGGCCGGUCAGGCGCAUCCGUCUCCCCUAAGGGGUCGGGUCGCGCCGACGGCUGGGUAAGCCUUUCUUCAAAGGCGCCCGGUGGGGUCUGGGCUCGCGAGGACGCGAGCCUUGAGAGUUCAUCGGCAAUCAUAUUAUCCCGUCUGGGCACAUGCCGAAGCUCUAUCCCGUCAAAAUGGCGCUCCAUACGCCGCACUUGGCGUACGUAGGCGUCCAUCUGUGGGUCAGAGCACCGGUACUCCUUACAGACCUGGUUAACGACUAGCUGGGAGUCGCCUAAUACCAAGAGGCGGCGGAUCCCUAGUCCAGCCGCCACUCUGAGUCCGGCAAGGAGUCCCUCGUACUCUGCCAUAUUGUUAGUCGCUCGAAAGUCGAGACGGACCAAAUAUCUGAGGACGUCUCCGUUCGGAGAGGUCAACGUGACCCCUGCACCGGCGCCCUGAAGAGACAGAGAACCGUCGAAUUGCAUCACCCAGUAGGCGGUUUGAGGCAGCUGUGAGGGGUCCGUGCUGGCCUCGGGUAUUGAGACGGUCUCUGGAGCCGGGGUCCACUCCGCCACAAAAUCGGCGAGGGCCUGGCUCUUGAUAGCGUGGCGUGGUUCAAAGUGCAGAUCGAACUCAGAAAGCUCGAUUGCCCAUUUUACCACUCGUCCUGUACCCUCUCGAUUAUGCAGGAUCUGACCGAGGGGGUAAGACGUAACCACAGUGACCCGAUGCGCCUGGAAAUAAUGGCGCAGUUUCCUCGAGGCCAUCAGAAUAGCGUAAAGCAUCUUCUGGGCCUGUGGGUAUCGGGUCUUGGCGUCCCGGAGGGCCUCACUAACAAAGUAGACAGGCCGCUGCACCUUUCGGCGGGGCCGAUCUUCUUCGCUAGGGGCCGCACCCCUGGGGCGUUCUUCGUCCGAGUGGCCCCUCGGGGCGCACUCGUCUUCUGUGCCGUUGACCUCGGGGUCGGAGGACGACAGGAGCGGCCUUCCCACAGUGGCCUCGGGGCCGCCCUGGGGGUCGGGGGCUCCUGGCGUCAUCGGACAAGCGGGCAAAGGGCCAACUCCGGUCGUCAGGGGCCUUAGGCCACCGUUCGGCUCGGGGGCCUCUUCUCCCUGCUCUCUCCCGGGUCGAAUCGGUACAGGGUUAGCCUCAGGGUCAGAGGGUGAUAGGUGCGGCCUCCCCGCAGUGGCCUCGGGGCCUUCCUGUGGGUCGGGGGCACCCGGCACCGUCUGACAAGCGGGCAGAGGGCCGACUCCGGUCGUCAGGGGCCUUAGGCCACCGUUCGGCUCGGGGGCCUCUCCUCCCUGCCUGCUCUCGGGCCUAGUCGGCACAGAGUGGGGGUGCGCAGAAUGAGGAUUGUCCUCAUCGCGCUCCACAACCAACGCUGCACUAACUACUUGGGGGGUCGCUGCUAAAUAAAGUAGCAGGGGCUCAUUUGGCUCCGGGGCGACUAGAACCGGGGGAGAGCCGAGAUAUGCCUUUAACUGAGUAAGGGCAUGUUCAGCUUCCUCCGUCCAAGUGAACGGCCCCGAGCGCUUGAGGAGCUUAAACAAGGGAAGCGCCUUCUCUCCCAGCCUUGAUAUGAAACGACUUAGGGCGGCCAUGCAACCAGUGACGCACUGCACGUCCCUAAGUUUGCUGGGGGGGCGGAUCCGCUCUAUAGCUCGUAUCUUCUCGGGGUUGGCCUCAAUGCCUCGGGCAGAGACCAAAAACCCGAGAAGCUUGCCCGCAGGUACACCAAACACGCACUUAUCGGGGUUUAGUUUUAUGCGGGCGGAGCGGAGGUUCUCAAAAGUUUCCGCUAGAUCUGAGAGUAAGGUCUCUUGGUUGCGCGUUUUUACAACCAAGUCAUCGACAUACGCCUCAACAUUACGUCCUAUUUGACUACCCAAAGAAAUUCGAGUAGUACGCUGAAAAGUAGGACCUGCAUUCUUUAACCCGAAAGGCAUUGAUGUAUAACAAUAGGUUCCUACGGGGGUAAUGAACGCAGUUUUUUCCUCAUCCUCCCUAGCCAUGCGAAUCUGAUGGUAACCAGAAUAUGCAUCUAGAAAACACAAAAGGUCGCACCCCGCAGUGGAGUCGACGAUCUGAUCUAUGCGAGGCAGGGGGUAAGGAUCCUUAGGACAUGCCUUGUUAAGGUCGGUGUAGUCGAUGCACAUCCGAAGCUUGCCGUUCGCCUUGGGAACGACCACCGGGUUCGCCAGCCAUUCCGGAUGGAUGACUUCACGGAUAAAUCCGGCCUCCAGAAGUCUCGCCACCUCCUCGCGGAUGAAGGCUUGACGUUCCGGGGCCUGCCGCCGCACUUUCUGCCGGACCGGCCUUGCGCCCGGCCGCACGGCGAGACGGUGCUCAAUCACCUCCCUGGAGACCCCGGGCAUGUCCGCUGGUCUCCAUGCGAAGACGUCAGCGUUUGCCCGCAGGAAGGAGACGAGCGCGUCUUCCUAUUUGCCACCCAGAAGACCACCGAUCCGCGUGGUCUUGGAUGGGCCGUCGCCCAAGGCAACCUCCUUGACCGGGACCUCGUCGCAUGUGGCCAUCCGCUGCCUCGGGGUGGUGGGGGCAGAGGGGCCAAGCCUCUCGUCACCACCCUCGGGCUUGGACGCAGCAGCGAGGCGGUCCGCGCGCUGCUCUAUGCAAGCAAGCGCGACUUUAAGGUCGCCACGGACAGAGAUGGGGCCACCGGGGCCCGGCAUCUUCAUCUGGAGGUAGGCGUAGUGGACCGCCGCCAUGAACUUCACCAACGCGGGUCUCCCCAGGACCGCGUUGUAGGGCAGACUGAGGUCCGCCACAUCGAAGCUCACCCGCUCCGUGCGGAAGUUGGCGGAUCCACCGAAGGUGACCGGUAGGUCGAUGUGACCUAAUGGCCACGUGUGCCCCGGCGUCACACCGAUGAUCGGUUGAGACGGCUGGAGCACCAUCCCCGGGGCCUUGAUAGCAUCAAAGGCCGCGGGGGAAAGGAUGUUGAGAGCCGCUCCUCCAUCUAUGAGGACACGUCCCAACUUCACGUUGCAGAUGGUGGGGGAAACCACCAUCGCAACCUGCCCUCCCCGGGCAAUGCACGGUGGGUGGUCGGUCUGGUCGAAAGUGAGAGCAACCUCCGACCAUCGCGCCCGACGCAUCGCCUCAUGGGUAGGGGCCAUGGUCAGAAGCUCUCGCUUCAUAGCCUUGAAGCUCCGGCGAGAGACGUGAGCACAUGCUCCUCCAUCGACGGUGGCAAUGGUGGCUCCAGGUUCUUGGAAACCUAGAUCAUCAUCACCAUCAUCAAUGUCAACAGCGGGGGCCUUCUUCUUGGCCUCACUUCGCCGUUUGUCGGAAGGAACCGCCGGGGACUUGCCCUCACGGCGUUCCUGCCUCCUGUCCUCCUCCCACUUCCUCGUUCGCUCAGCCAAGUUUUUGACUGCACGACAGUCCGCGAGAUCGUGGAGGGAGGUGUUGUGGACGGAGCACCACCUGCCGGCGGGGCGCUCCCUGCCGGGAGUACCAGCCUCUUUCUUUUUGUCGCUCGCAGGCCUCCCCUUUCGGGUGGCCCGCGGAGCGCCCUCGACGGCGAGGACAUGACCCUCGUCGCCGGAACGGUCCGACCUCUUCUUCCUCCUCCUGUCACGCCGCCCUGUCUGAGCGGCGGAUCCGGGGGCGGCCGAAGCUGCCACUCCGGAACCGGAGGAGUUCCAUGUCCACGCUUCCUCCUUACGAGCCACUCGGUCUGCGAGCUGAAAAAGCUCUGCGGUAGUCUGGGGCUCUUUGGAAGCGAUCUUUUCGAGCAUGCGGUUGUGCCGCACGCCCCCCCUGAACGCGUAAAUCACCGCGUGUGCAGGGAUGCAUGGUAUAGUAUUGCGGACUUGGCAAAACCGCUGAAUGUACGAGCGAAGCGACUCAUCAUCGCCUCGCUGUACUGCAUGCAAGUCCGCUUCUUCGCCUGGGCGCGGAUAUGUGCCUUGGAAGUUCAUGGUGAACUGUUGGCACAAAUCUUCCCAGGAGUGGACCGACGCGGGUGGCAGGUUCAUUAGCCAACCCCGCGCCUGUCCUUUUAGGGCCAUGGGAAAGAAGUUCGCCAUGACCCUGUCGUCACCCCCAGCGGCCUCAAUCCCGGUCGUAUAGACCUGGAGAAACUCGGUGGGGUUGACGCUCCCAUCGUACUUCUCGGUGAUGGUGGGCCGGAACCUUGGGGGCCAACGGACGUUCCGAAGACUCGCCACAAAGGCUCUACAGCCAACACCACCGGCCGGGGGCACGGAGGGCUGAUCUUCACGUCCGUGUCGAGGUGACACUCUAGACGAGGAGGCGCCCUCCGUUGCACGGGGAGUACGCCGGCUAUUACGCCGGCGCCCGAUGUUGAGGCGGGCAUCCGGCUCCCCAUGCUGAUCCUGAUCCCGAGUCGACGGUGUAGACGAGGGAGUGGCAGCCGAAUGACGUGCAGCCGCCGCCGCUCGCCGCGCCCUCCGCCUUGAUGACACGGAGCCGGUGGUAGCGGCGCCGGAGGUCUUGGUGGUGGUGGCGGACCGUCCACCAGCACCCAGGCGCUGCUGUGCCGUCAUGACCAAGUUGGCCACAUCUUCCAGCCAUCGUUGGGCUGGAGACUCCGGGUCAUGGACGACAGGCGGGUGUCGUAGGAGCGCGCCAGCAGCUUGAAGCGCACCUUGAGGUGUGCUGCCGUCGCCGUAGACGAGGAGGCGACGCUCCCCAUCUCGCCGUUCUCCUGCAUCACCUGCGGCUGGUGACGCCGCGGAUUUGUCGACCCUCUCAAGCGCCUCCCCCUGCUUAGGGCUUUGGCGCGGAGGAGGUGGAGGAGUACGAGCUCGACGGCGUGGAUUUGGCUCCCCGUCGUCGCCGCUCACACUCGGAGAGAGGUCGUGCGCUUUUCCUUGCUCGGCCAUUAGGCUGAACAAGAAAAACUUGGGGCACACGGAAGAGUCUGAGAGCUCAGGAAGCACACGCUGAGCCCCCUACCUGGCGCGCCAGAUGACGGAGCUCGUGGCUCCUCACCGGGAGACCGCGCAGGCCCCCCUUUGCCGGUUCGGCCGGGGGCUUAGGGUGAGAUCUCAAGCUCUCUCUGUGUGUGGAAAGAUCGCGUGCUAGGAAGAAACGCGAGACACAAGCGAUGUAUACAGGUUCGGGCCGCUGAGAAGCGUAAUACCCUACUCCUGUGUUUUGGUGGAUCUGUGUAUGAAGGGGCUACAAAGUGUGAGCCAACCUCUCCCUCGUUCUAGGCUCUGAAUCUGGCAAGAAUCAAUCCCCCCCUCUAUGGGCAAGGUCCUCCUUUUAUACUUCAAGGGGAUACCACAUGCACCCUUCUCUUUCCAAACUGGACUGUUCUUUUUCUCUUGAAUGGGCGGAGAUCAGCACGGUUGCUGUCCGAACGACGCUCCGAUGGGACAGCCCACACCUACCUCCACUUCCGCCGGGGGUGAGCGCGUCGUGGGAACAUGGCUGUGCGCUGACGAUAUGAUCAGUGUCAGACCGAUCACAAAUCGGUCAUUCUUGUCCACCGCGUGUAAUCUUGGCAACGUGCAUGUUUGCCCUUCUUCACACAACAUCUUGCCUGUAAUGGUUAGGAUGAAGCCUGGCAUAUAUCGACCGGGUCUAACGUGUCAUCUCUAAGAGAUAACACGCUUAACGCCGGCUUGAGACGAGUGCCUAGAGGCUUUCGUCUUGACGGGAUGGGGCAUGGCGUGCGUCAGACCGCCAGUCGCCACCUAACCCGUGAUCUGACCGGUCUGUGACUGGUCACAGACCGGAUAAAGGGACGCGCCGUGCUGCACUGCAUGCAGCGUGACACGCUUGACCAGACUGCAAUAAAUGCUGUUAGGUGAGCACAGCUGUGCUCACUUAUCCCAUAUACGUGGCGCAGACUUCCUAAAGGGGGUCGGGGUGCCUCGGCCCUCGGGGCCGGGGCAAGCGCAACCCGACCCCCCCUCGGGGGAAAUCAGGAGGAGGGCGGACACCUCACCCUCGGGCCCGACGUCCCCGAAGGUGCCAGGCCACGUGGGCGAUUGUGUCUGCCUCAAGCCUCUGGUCAUGAUACUCCCGGUCCCAUAUCACCGACACAGGCUGCAUUUCAAGCGAUUGUGUAUUACCGACACUAUAGGCCACGGAUGGAUGGGUUCUUGCACUACUUUCCAGCUUGCACAAACCAAACAACUGCCAAUUACUAUCCAGGUCUUGAGGGAAACAUGAGAGAGAUUGACACUCCACAGCUAUUCUUAGCCGGCCUAGUUCGUGCUAUGGAUAGAUAUCUCGCAAAAACUAUGGCCGAGUUGCGUAGAUUGCAAGCUAGGGUGAUCAUGCUUGAUACACGAAUAGAACCACUCGGGCACCAAGGGCACUUUGAUAAUGCCAUUAUUUAUGGGAAUCAUGAACUUCAACCUCUUACUGAGACUUUGCCUCCUCCCAUAGGUAUUUAUCAGAAUAUAAACACUAGAGCCCGCAUGAGAGUUGGUUUCCACUACAAUCGUCUAACCAUGCCAGACCCUGCACUUGUUGGAGAUCCGAUGUAGCUAGGACCAUUCUACGUGUUUGAGCGGAAUGGGAGACAAUACCGUUUAACCAUGGCCACUCCGUCAACUACGGUGCCUCAACCUCCUAUCGGAUUCUCCCAAGUUCCAUAGAAUGGUGUACUAAAGGAAAAAUGUAUGGGGUGUAACUUUCAUUUCUUUUACCAAAAGAUGUAUGAGAUGACACCCUAUUAUGUAUUCCUCGUAAUGGUCGAAUUUUGUAACACCGAGGCAAGAACUUGGUUUCUUAUGAUCAUUAUCCAAUUCUAUCUAUCUGUGAUCACUUAGAUCCUUUGAAACUGAUGUACUGGAAUGAAACUUAUGCUCCUUUUUGGAAUGAAUUGCUUGCUCUCCAGAAAUUUGUUUUAUGCAAAUAUGAGAUGGAUGACUUGUAAAUUCAGCUAUUAGAAAAUCAUUCCUGUAUUAUAUUUAUUUAGGGUGAUGUAUAUAUCAAGUCUUUGCACAAACAGCUCAUGUACUUUUGUACCUUAAGUGCAGGAUGACACAUACUCGCUCUAUGGCUGCUCACACGGAUGACACCGGUGGUGAGGAAGCUAGUCAACCUCGUGCUGGCACUCAUUCCGCUGGACAUGCCGGGGGUAGUCGGCGUGCCGCCACCACUGAGCGGCAUGAUGAUGAACCAUCCCUUGCUCAACUCUUAGCGAACCAGAACCGGCUCUUUGAAAGGAUGGUGGCAAACUCUGAGAACAUAGGGGCUGCUAUGGCACAGCAGGCUAACCAAGCACCUUCCAAGUUGGUAAAUGUUCAGCAAACUCAUCCGCCACAGUUCUCUUCUGCGGCUGAUCCACUUGCAGCAAAUGAUUGGCUUCGUGAUAUUGAAAUCAAGCUAAAUCUUAGCCAGUGUGAUUCUAUAGAGAAGGCUACCUUUGCUGCUUACUACCUGCAAGGUGCAGCAGCUGCUUAUUGGGAGACAUACAAGACUCUCAUUCCUCCUGAUGAGCCUAUCACAUGGACUGUUUUCAGAGAGGGAUUCAGAUCUGCUCACAUCCCUGCUGGUCUCAUGGAGAUCAAAAAGAAAGAGUUUCUUAACCUGAAGCAAGGAAACAUGCCCUUCAUGGAGUUCAUGGAACGCUUCAACUAUCUGGGUAGAUAUGUCGCUGCAGACAUGAACACCGAAGCAAAGAAGGUUGAGCUAUGUAGAGAUCGUCUUGCACCUGAACCACUACUAGGAAAUCGGGCUUAUGCAACGGCUUGAAUUCAUUGCAAUAUGCCCAAAACCGUUGCAAUAGGUGCACUACAAGAUAAUUGAGCUAUCGCCACCAAUUUAUUACAACAAAAGAUAAUUCGUGGCAAUAUUUUAUACUAUCGCAAUGAUAUUUUUUCUGUGGCAAAUAACUAUACUUUGUUGCAACGAUUUACAAUCGUUGUUUUAUUCAGUAUUUUUGUUGCAAUAGGAAAUGAGCUAUCGCCACAAAAAACAUUACUAUUGCAAAAAACAUGUUCUAUCGCCACACAUUUAAUUUUUGUGGCAAUUUGCAUAGUACAUGGCACUUUUCACUAUUUUCUAUUGCCAUGAUCAACAAAUUCGUUGCAAUAAAAAAUUAUCAUCUCAUAAUUUAACUUAUUCUUUUCAUAUGGACACGGAUUAGGACAAAUUUUAUAUAAAAUUUAUAGCUCUCGAUGAGAUCUACAACUUAAAAUUUUCAUUUGAAAUCUUUUAAAUACUCAAAUUCAUGAUUCAAAUCUCAGUUAAGCAGUCUCAAAUGGAAUUGUAUGCAUUUUUAAACAAAAUUGAUGCGUAGGUGAGUUGGUCGUAGAGAGUGCACGUGAGGGAGAGAUUUUGGGUUCGAAUCCUGGCUUUGACAAGAUAUCAAAAGAAAAUAGUUAGGAUGAUAAAUUAAUAUUGAAACAUUUAAUUUGGUACGUAGAACUAAUGCCACACAUGGAGUGGUGGCAAUAGUUAUUUAUUGCAACGAUGUGAAGUGUUGCAAUAUAUAUUUUUGCCACAUCCAUUUUAUGGCAAUAUCAAAAUUUAUUACAACUAAAUAAAAAUCGUUGCAAAAACCUAUUUGUAACAUACCAGGAAUUCUUUGAAGCUAAAAAAAAACAAAAUGAAGAAAACUUAGCAAAAAUUUGAUUUUGAUCUUGUCCUUGUCAUUUGAAGUUAAUUUUGGUGUUCUUGGAUUUUCCAUGCAUCUCAUAACUCAUUUGCAUGCAAUAAAUAUAAACAAAAAGGAACUAAUUAAAAUAAGUGGUAGACACUUGAAAUAACCUUUCACAAAUCUCACAAGUUUUGCAUCUCAAUUAAAAAGAUGAAAGCAUACAAAAUUUGAUUCAAAUUAAAAUAAAAACAGUGAACUUGUUUGAAUUUUCAAAACAAUAAACUGCACGUGAGAAAAAUCCCAAAAAUUUACCAAGUGGAGGUCUUGACCAGACUAACCUCCAGAAAUUUUUGCACAAGCUUUUGAGCACAGUAGCAUAUCCAAAAAAAUUAAUCAAACUCUCGGCCUUCUUGAAAAUUCCCAGAGAAAAAUCCUCUCACCUCAUCCCUUCUCCCGUUAUCUCUCUGACCAGUGGGCCUAAGGACCAUUGGCCCCACCUGCCAGCCACCAUCUCCUUAUCCCUGCUCUCUGUCUUUCUCCCUUCUCUCCAUCUAUUCCUUUCAGGCAAUUCAUCGAGCACCUAGCGUGCGAGAUCGAGGUCAUCGUUUCCAAGCCGACCAAGCAACCUCUGCCCGCGAUUCCCGCUGGCAAAGCUGAAGCAAGGCUGGUGCGCCCCUGCCCGAGGCCCUGCCGCUGCCUUCGCCGCGUCCCUCGCCGGCUCGCCCAACCCGGAGCUGCCGCUCUCUUGCUCUCCCUCUCUCUCUCUGCCCGAGCAACGACGCGACGCGACACUGCGCCACCCUCAGCCCACGAAUCCCGCUGUGCCAAGGCUGCACAAAGCCGACGCCAUCCCUGCCGAUUCCCUGCCGCGCCCAGGCGCCGACCACCGCAGCCGCCGUGGCCAAUCCAACGCCGCCGCCCCCUGCCAAAGCCGACGCCCGAAGCGACAAGGCGAGAUCGACCGCCUUGGCUCCCUCUGAAUACCCCUGCACCCCCUCUGCAAUCCCUGCGCAAAGCCGACGCCUGCUGCAAGCCGUGUUCCCCGCCGACCACCGCCUGCGCGCGCGAGAGACGCCGAGCAGUUCGUGACAAAUCCCCGCGCUUGCCUCUCGCUCCUACCUCGCCUAUAAAUCGAACCCUCGCGCCAGCUAACUCUCCACACCACUCUCAACCUCCACACCCAAAGCCGAAGACCGAAACUCUCUGAUUCGCCGGGAACGCCCGCGCCACCGUCGCGCCCCGCGCCGGCCGAACAGAGCGCCGCCGCCGAACCCACACCAUCGAGCCGUCGCCUCGGUGAGUUCCCUCUCGAUUCCUCGCGCCACCAGGAUCAUAGGACCUCCCUAAAUCCAUUUCAGCAAUCUAUUUUAGGACCCCUCGACCGGAGAUCCGCCGCCACCAUUGUCGCCGCCGACCGCCUCGGGAGCUCGUCGCCACGCUGCCUCGGACCAUCUCCACUCCAACCACGCACGGGGUAAGGAUUCUCGUAGUCCCUAGACCCUCCCCUAGAAAGGAAUCGAAUCGCUGUCGAUCGUAGCACGCCGGCCGCCGACGUCCAGAACCGCCGCCAACGCCGGCCAUGGCGCUCGCUGCCUUUAGACACCCCCGGCCGCGCCACCGCCUCCAGGAGAUGCACGUUAACCUCCUCUAGCCACCCCUGCCUCCGCUCUAGCCAGCCCCACCGCCGCUCGCCGCCGGCAAGGCCGUCCCGAGCCGCCCCCAUGCCGCUCCCCUCGUUCCUUCCUGUUGGGGAAGAAGACCGGUCCUAUUCAUAAAUAAGCAAAACUCUAGGGCUCCCAAUACAAAGCGCCAAUACACUUACAAGUGGGACCUUGGACUUAUAUGUAAAUAAUAAAAAGAGUAGGGUUGAAAUGAUAAAUACACGAGACACGUACAUGUGGACCCCACUGUUUUAAGUGUAUGCGGACUACUGUAAUACGUUUUCCAUGUAGGAAAGAGAGUACGCUUCAGGCUUUUGUAAAGAGAAAUUAAUAAAAUGGUUUCGGUUAAUUAUUUAUGCACUAUAAAAUGCUUAAACUUUGGAAAAUCAUAGAGAAUUUAUUUUAACUCCGUUUGAGGUGAACCAAAUUUUGUUAGAUUCAUAAUAAUGCUCCCUUUAAUACUGUACACUCAAAAUUAUCACCACUGUUGUGAAAAUUUUCACUAAUUUAAAUUUAAAUAGUAAACUUCGUAUUUACCGUACUUUAAAUAUUAGAAACGCGAUAACUUGCACGUACAACAUCGGAUUUAGGCGAUUCUUUCCCCUAAAUUUAUAUUAAAUCACCCUCUAUACACUGAACAUGUUCAUGCACCAUGCAUCAUAUUUUAUCUUAGAGUUUUAUUGGAUGUUCAUUUGAAUGUACGUUUAAAUUUAAAUAGAGGACGAAUCAAUUGUAGCUGUUGACGAGAGUGUGUAGGACCAAGAGUUAUUUGAGUAACCAACUGAGCAAGGCAAGUCCUAUUCAAUUCCUCCUUCGAUCAUGUUGAAUCCUAUAUCUUCGCAAAUGCUUGAUUAUUUUAUAAAUUGCAUGCGAUGUUUUAUAAAGAAAAUGGGGUAUUGGUAGAAAUGAUCUAUUUGCUGCAUUACCUACCUUGAUAUAUUGAUUAUCCUUACUGUUGAACCACUAGGAUGGGUAUUUAUGUGGUACUAUCCAAGCACCACCGUGGGUAUAUUCGAGCUACUAAUAUAGCUAUUGCUUAGCCAUGCUUAGAAAUUCCCGAUGGUUACUUAUGACAUGAUAUUCACUAUUUAUAAAUGGGAUAAUUGAAAAAAGAAAAUGACAUGGAGGGGUUGCCUCUGUUAUUUUUGUGAAAAUUGAAAAUUGAAAAAAACGAUGAUUUUAGGCUUGGGCGGCAAGUGGUGUGCAUAUGGUGGUAGUUGCACACCGAUAGGGGGAGUGUACGCCCGAGUCGAUUAAGGACUGAACUAUGUGUCACCAACUAAGAUUACCGUGCAACCACAUGUGUCGGUUAUGGGGCGACCUUGGCUUAUUAAGUUGUUUACUGUUUAGCCUUGCAUUGGGAGGCCGUUGUAGUAGGGACUAGUCUGAGCGAUGGUUCAUAGGAGCUACCCAUGUGACCCUCUAUGGGAACGGUUGUGUUCGCCAUAUGGCAUGGGCGUCUAAGCAUAUCCAAUAUAACGGAUAGUGCCUCGUUGAGGGAACGGAUGUGUUCGCCUCACAGCGUUAGGAUUAGGAUGGGGCCCACCUUUCCUAGCGGCAUUGGUUCAUUGCCAAUGUGGAGAAACACUCUCCGUGCUCAUGCAAGGCUAGACUUUAAGCAAUGUAACGGCUUCGUUGUGACCUCUAGUCCACAUUCAAUGUGUAGAGUGUGGGGUACCGACGGGUACCAAAACAACUAGAGUGUAGCCUUUUGGCUUCUAUCACAUCAUGUGGGUAAAGUUGUACAAACUCUGCAGAGUAUAAACUAAUCGAUUAGCCGUGCUCACGGUCAUGAGCGACUUGGUGAAAUGAUACAAGUAUAGUGUUGGUGAUUUUUGUUAAAUAAAUUAUGAAAUGGGUAUGGUGAAUAAUGGUGAUGGUUUUUGUCCAGCGUGGGUUAAGAAUAAAAUUGUUACUUGUUGCCAUGGAGGGCGCAAGGAUGGUACUAUGAAAAUAUUAAUGUUACUAUUACUGUUGUUUAUCCUUUGAUUUACAAAGUUUCGUUGCAAUCUACUAUUAUUUGCUAUUGUGAAAUAAAAUUUGCUUUGUGCUGAAAAUGAGCCACAAAUAUAGCCAUCCUUGAACUUAGCUUGCAAUAUUCCUAGGUUUCCCAAGGUUUGGGUAGGACUUGCCAUUACCUCGUGUAUUGACCCACCUCUUGUUGUUGUUUUUAGUCUUGUUUGCAGGAAGCGGGUGUUACCGGAGUUUCUAAGGAUGGUUCUUUCUAGGGUGGUUCCUAGUCAGUUGCCUGUGUGGUUUGGUAGAUGGGCAUACUGAAGAACUUAUGUAUCUUUAUCUUUUCCGCUGCGUUUAAACUCUUUUAUUUGGCCGGUCAGCCUAACUACUAUGUAAGACCUUUGCACCGCUAAGUUAUAAGAGCCACUUGCCUAUUUAUAUGCCAAGUAUGUUGUAUGGAUGUGAUAGCAAUGUUGUGGAUGCGUGUGCUAGCCACUGAUCAUGGGACUAGUACAGUGUACGCUCCAUGUAUUCGGGAAUUCCAUCCCCAGGUGCCAACACUAUUACCACGCUAUUUAUUACCACGGCUAGCAACAAUUUUAAGAUUGUGGCAACAUGUAUCUAUUGCCACAAUUUUAGCAUUGAUGUUAUGAUUUUUUUCGUAGCGAUAAAUUAUUUUUCUAGUAGUGGUGCAAUUGCAAUGGAAUUUUGUCGUUAGGGCUCGUGGCGCAAAAGUCCGUAGCAAUAGGGUUUUUACCACUGGAUCUGUUUGCCUUUGCAAAUAAAAACUCAUGUUGCAACUGAAUGAACCAUGGCAAUUAAUAGAUAAGGCAACGGUUGGUUGGUGGUAAUACAAUGUACUGCAACGCCAUAUGUCGUUGCCAUAGGAACUAGUCGCAUUGCACCAAAGCGUGGUAAUAAGUGCUUUUGCAACGCCAAAAUGGUGUUGCAAAACAUGCAUUGCCACGGACCUCAAAUGUGGUAAUAGGUCGACCUCUAUUACCAUGCUCAUAGUUUGGUUGCUAUAGAUAGGUCCCACUAUUGCCAUGCUACAUAUGUAUCGUUGCUAUAGUUGGACUCUCUAUUGCCACUCUAUAUAUUUGGUUGCUAUAAGUGGGUACCUCUAUUUAACAUGCACAAUUUGGUGGCCAACCAGAUAAAUCAAAACAAUAUAUGAUAAAAAUAUAGCAUUUUAUACCCAUAACACAAUAUCUAUUGAUGAAACUAUCAAAUAUUAAAAUCGAGAAUACACUCAGUACUCAAAGACAAAAUAUUUGUAACACAAUUGUGCGAGGACAUCCAAAGCUAAAUAGCUAAAAUUCCAUGGAAUUCUUUCAUCUGGCUUGGAGUUCAGCAAAGCCAUCACGUUGCCUUCACGUCGACAUUCCUAUCAAUUAUCCAUCCACUUAGGUAGCUUUUUUAUGAAAAGAAAGAAUGACAUUGGUAUUUGCUUCAGCAGCAGGGUUGAUCAAACUGAGAGCGUAUAACAAAACCUUACACUUUGAUAGGUGAAACAGAAGUGUAACACCCCAGGUAUCAACUUACCUAGAAUGCUACACACUACGGAACAAAAACCACUAAGUCCUAAAUUCAUUAAGAAUUUCGACAGAGUCCCCCUUGUAAAUAUGGACAUCCACGACAAGCAGUUAUAAAUUAAACUAAUAAUAACAUCAUUUCCAUAGUGUAAUCCAUCCAUAUAACCCAUGGAAAGAGACUAAUAGAUAUCUAAAGGAUUAUUACAAGACCAAACCAGGAUAUAGUUUAAGUGUCAAUAUGGACCUAAGCAAUAUAAUUUGAUAGUGUGCAGAUAGGUGUGUAUACAAGGGUGCUACUUCCCGCCCAUGCAUGCCGAUCUCAAUGUGUACCUAAAACCGAAUAAACACUAGAGUGAGUACGGAAAUACUCCGCAAGUACAAUAUGGAACUAGAAAACACAUAUACACAUCAUUGGCAAUGAAGCAUAAAUAGAAAGCUUUCUUUCUUUCAUAAGAAACACAUUUUCAAACACCAAGUCAAAGAAAAUAGUAGUUCCCAUCCCGGGCAGGCAUGAAUUGAAAUAGUAGUUUCCAUCCCGGACAAUUGUGAAUACAUCCUAACAUUUGCCGGCAAAGCCGAGUAAGUUUGAUCAGCGCUUACUCACAGGAACAUUAAUAGAAAACCAGAUAGCACAUCCAUGAUUCGCAUGGAACAUGAAUAAUUGAAACCGGAAACAAAGAACCAAAUUGAAAUCAUAUCACACAUCCAUGGCAAGGAUGGAACAUGAAUUAUUUACCCAGAACCAGAAUCUGGAAUAUUGAAACAUGAAUAACGUCGUAAACAUGUAAUCAAUUAACACACACGUUCAAUACAAUCUCGGCGCAUCGCCACCCUUUUGCUUUAGUUUUAUUUCGAUGAGUUUUUGCUUUCGGGUUGAGCUGCAUCGGUUUCAAUCUUCAACAAGAGUUAAAACUUGUUAUGACGGCUUGCGUUCUCGAGAUUAGUGCUUCCAUCUUUAUGAUACUCUAAUCUUGUUUAUGUAAUUUCAUCGAGUUAUCAUAUAUCUUACAUAAUCUCCGGCAAUAUCGCUAUCUAACCUAUUAUUGGCUAACAUCUGUCAGUAGAGGGCAGCCGAUUAGGUUAAACAUCGAUGUUGACUUAGAUUAUAUAGGAUGUCCAUCACUCUAUGAAACUUCCAGCGGCUUGAUUGUCUAGAUAUUGUUCUUCUUUUCAUACUUAAUGCUGCAUCAGUUGAGUUUGAUCUAUUAAGUCAUGCUUAGAAUAUCAAUCUCUAGCCUGCCUUCUGGUUGCCGAUUAGGGUAGUAUCGGGGUUUCAGCCGAUCUUAUCUGAUUUAACUAUAUUUACUCUAUAUGCUUCAUUGAUAUGUUAAAUCUGCCCUUUAUGUUAAGAUCUUGUUGCAUUCAAGUAUAUUAGACUUUUGUUUUAAUAUAUUCUACUUGUUUUAAUAUCUUAGAAUAGAGUGGUAUCGGAGUAUUAGCCGGUACAUGCUAGAUCCAUUUGAUCGGCUAUGCUAUGAACACAUAUAAUCCCACUAUUAAUAUAUAUUUCGAUCUGAGUGAUUUAUACUGUCUCGGCAUGGCGACCGAUCUAUCCCAAUCACUUGAUUUAAGUAUAUAUCAAUAUAAUGAGUAUAUAUUGUUAAUAUCUACAGCCGAUCGAGUAGAUCUAAUGCUUUCUUAUUUACUCAUGACUGCCGAUCGAUACAUAUAUGACAUCGGCUCAAAGAUAAAUGAUAUGUCAUCGGCAUUUAGCCGAUCGGCUAUCGUUUAUAGGUUUAACCGCGGUUACUUUGUCUUUGUUUCUUGUUGAUUGUAGGAUCAAAUCAACUGGCACGCUAGCAUACCCAAAGGCGAGUUUUGGACCUGCACUAUAGUUAAGCAGAUCUCCUAGGCCUCGUGUUUUCCAUCAACAGAACCAUACUGAUAAAAGCCAAAAAUUUUAUUUUUCUCAGAAAUUCAUUAUGCAAAUUUGUCUCAAAAUUUAAAAACCUUGCUGCAAAGUUUUGGAAAAUUCAAAUAUGCUGUGAAUGCAAAAAUCAAAUUGAUGAAAAUAAGCAUGAGAUACAUACCAACUUUACCUAUUGGCGAGGGUGACGUCAAUUAUAGGUCCAACGAGCAGGAUCGUUCCUUCGUCAGUUCAGCUCGAAAGUUCUUUUUCCGUCCCUGGAGGUAAUGGAGCGGACGUCGUCUGUUUCACCCGUCACACCUUUUUUGGUCCUUGGUGUGGGCGAUGGCUUCUAGGUGCCGGAGCCACAAGAUUCUUGGCUCGUGCAUUAGUUUUUACCAGUGUCUUCUUUGCACGAGGCCUCUUUCUGGUUGUUUCAAUCUCCAGGAAUUUCUUCAUAAAGGCUAUGAUGCUAUCCAUCUCUGGUGGGUGCACUUCGACUUCUUGGAUCUGCGGUGAGUUCGGCCAGUACUUGAUCUUGACCAUUGAGCAAUGUUCUGCUCUUGGUCUGAAGUCGAAUUUCUCCUCCCUUCCAUUGAUGUGGAACCGGAUGUUCCUAGCUCCCACGUCUAUGCUGGCUUCCGCAGUAAUAAAAAAUGGACGGCCAACGAUCAAAGGCGUCUCCAUCUCCGAGUCCAUGACAAGAACCACGAAAUCCACCAGGAUGAAGAAAUCCUGAAUCUUUACUGGCACAUCCUCGAUGAUGCCCACUGGGUAGCAGAUGGAGGAAUCGGCCAGUUGGAGCCUCAUCGGUGUUGGGAUCAACACCAUGUAGUUUAGCUUGUUGAAGACGUCCUUCGGCGUCACGCUGACACUGGCCCCAAGAUCGCAUAAGGCCUGAUCGAAGUGUCGUGUCCCAAUUGAACAUCAGAUUGUGGGACACCCUAGAUCUUUCUUCUUUUCUGGGAGUCGGUGGAGUAUAGCGUUGCUACACUCCUCCGUAAGCUUGACCAUCUCCGUUGUAGGCAGUGGCCUUUUGUUGUUCAGGAUGUCCUUGAGGUAGCGGGCGUACGUCGGUACCCUUAUUGCAUCCACCAAUAGGAUGUUGAUGUGGAUUUUUGGAUGACAUCCAUGAACCGAGCGAAUUGCUCGUCCACGGAAGGCUUCUUCUGGCAUUGAGGAAACGACAGCAGCGUUGUGUCGCAGUAUUCCUAUGGCGGGAUUUUGUCGGGCUGCGCCUCCUCGUCUUCCUCGUGUUAAGUUGUGCUAGCUGUUGGUAUUUCUUACGACCAUAGAUAAAUCCGCAAGCGCACGGAAUACCGUUGUAGCACUUCACCCUCGGGUGACCCCAAAAGGAUAUCGAACUCAGGGAACGUGUAUAAUCUACCUAAGGCUAAGACGAUCCAAGGACAACAACUAUAGGUAGGCAGGCUAGAGAGGACUUUCUAUGAGUUUUAAUUAUCUAAGCUAAGCAAAGGUAAUUUCCGGCUAUAGCUCUAUGAUGUAUCCGAACGUGGAGGAUUACUGGGACGGGAUUCAGGGCUGUCACCACCUGCCGCCUACCUCUGACAAAUCCGUAGGAUACACAACAAACAAAAGUAAUCUCUAACCUAGACACCACGUCUAAGUUAUUAAUUACUACUCUAAUACUUGCGCAUGAACUUCCUUCUUUAUCCAGAGUCCUAGUACUAGAGCACUUAGUAUGAAUACUAAACAAUGAACCCGCAAAGAUGGAAAUAUAUCUUACUCAGACAAAGUAAUUAAAUAACAUAAGAAAGGAACACGAAUGCUUACUUUAUAGAAGAAGUUUUUCGAACCCGGAGCAGAGUGUACCGACAACUCCGGUACUCCUGCAGAAUUCCUCCUACGAAGCUACACUCGUCGAGGAAGAAGUUAGAUGAGCGCCAAACUUCCGGGCACUCCUCCAGAGCUUCCCCUCACUCUCUACCUUAUUCUAAUGUACAAAAGAUACAAUAGAGCCUCUUGUAAUUUAGCUCAAAGUUGUGUGCGUUGGAAUGAGAUGAAGACCUCUUUAUAUAGGCUCCAAAUGACAGUUAGGGGCAUGGGAAAUGACCAAAACACCCUGCAACCGCCAUAGGGGAGGAAUCCAAGCCGUCCAUUCCCUCUUCUUUUGCCUCGAAGGAUUUGUCAACAUGACCUGCUACCAACUUGGAGUCAGUUCGAAUUAGCAGGCGCCGGACUCCCAGUGCUUUCGCCUUUCUUAGGCCCAGGAGAACGGCUUCGUAUUCUGUUGCAUUGUUGGUUGUGUCGAACUGUCAUCUUGCUGCGUACCGAAUCGGCACACCAUUCGGCGAAAAGAGGACUGCCGCAACGCCUGCCCCCUUGUGCGACCGCGAACCAUCAAAGCACAUCACCCAGAACUGUUCGGCCGGCUCGGGGUCGGGGGCAAGUACUGGUGUCCAUUCAGCUACGAAGUCAGCUAGCACUUGAGACUUGAUAGCAGAGCGUGCAACAAAAUGCAAGUCGAACGGGGAUAGCUCUGCCGCCCACUUGCUGAGCCGGCCAGUGACUUCCAUGCCUCGGAGUAUUUCGCCCAAGGGGUACUGUGAUGGCACUAUGACUUUAUUGGCCUGGAAGUAGUGCUUAAGCUUGCGCGAAGCCAUCACUAGAGCGUAAGCGAGCUUUUCCAUUUCAAUGUACCUUGUCUUCGCUCCUUGCAGUGCUUCGGAGACGAAGUAGACCGGUUUCUGUCCGGACUCUGUUUCUUGGACGAGUGCUGCACUGACUGCCACCGGCGAAGCUGCCAAGUAUAAUAGCAGUUCGCUUCCUGGGGGUGGGCUUAUCAGAGCUGGCGAGCUUUGCAAGUAUUGCUUUAGCUCGUCGAAUGCUGCUUGGCACUCUGGUGUCCAAUUAAACUUUCCCGCGCCCCGGAGGGUCUUGAAGAAGGGCAAACCUCUUUCGGCCGCCUUUGAGAGGAAUCGACCGAGUGCUGUAAUUCGGCCUGCAAGCUUUUGUACUUCAUGUACGCUUGACGGAGGCUUCAUUUGCUGGAUGGCAUCGAUUUUCUCGGGAUUCGCCUCGAUGCCCCUUUAGAAAACAAGGAAACCCAACAACUUGCCUGCGCGGACGCCGAAAACGCACUUCUCCGGAUUCAGCUUUAUGCCUGCCGCGCGCAAGCUGUCGAACAUCUCUUGCAGGUCGAUCGCAUGGUCAAAAGCCUUGCGGCUUUUUACGACGAUGUCGUCGACGUAAGCUUCCACGUUUCACCCCAACUGCUUGCCAAGGACCUUGUACACCAGCCUGGCGAAGGUUGCUCCUGCGUUCCUUAAGCCGAAAGGCAUCCUGAGGUGACAAAAUGUACCGAAUGGAGUGAUGAAGGAUGUUUUGGGGAUGUCGAGCGGGUUCAUGUGGAUCUGGUGGUAACCGGAAUAUGCAUCCAGGAAACUCAUGAGCUCGCAUCCAGCUGUUGAAUCCACGAGCUGGUCGAUUCGCGGCAAGGGGAAAUCGUCUUUCGGACAUGCCUUGUUCAGGUCUGUGAAAUCGACACACAUGCACCAUUUGCCAUUUGACUUCCGCACCAGCACUGGAUUCGCCAACCACUCCGGAUGGUCAAUCUCUUGAAUAACGCCCGCCCGGAGUAAUUUUUGUACUUCGGUCUUCGCCGCUUCUUGGCGAUCGGCAGACAUCUUGUGCAACUUUUGUUUUCUUGGCUUAAUAUUCGGCUUGACUGCUAAGUGAUGCAUGAUGAGAUCUGCCGGGAUGCCCCCCACCUCGUCAGGGCUCUAGGCGAAGAUAUCGAUGUUCUUUUUGAGCACCUCUAGUAUGCUCUCAACUUCUUCUUCGCCCAUGUCGCCCCCCAGUGAUAUGAGCUUUGUGGGGUCGGCAUCAUCAAUCUGUACUUCUGUUACCUUGCCGUGAGGGGUAGGCUUCGGCGUGUGCUUCGGCCGCUCAUGCGGUUCGGUCUCAACAUUGUGCACUGCUCUGUUGAUUAUGGCUAGAUCGCGUUUUGAAGCGGCCGAAGGCUGAAGCCCCUUGACUACUAUCACCCCUGUUGGGCCAGGCAUCUUGAGCUUGAGAUAAUUGUGGUGGGAUGUUGACGACGUCGAACAGUAUUUGCUCUUCGCGCCUGUUUUCUCCCGAGCCGAAAGCUAUCAGCAAAAGUGCUUGGCCAAGAACUUGCACUGCCUCUCCGCCGAACCCCCGGAGCGACGUUGGUGCUGGUGUAAGAGCUUGGGUUGGCAAGCCCAUCUUAGCAUAUGCUUCGGCGAAGAUCACGUCGGCCGAACUCCCUCCAUCGACCAGGAUUCGUCGGACUUCAAAACCGGCUAUCUCAGCUGAGAUUACCAGUGGAUCUUGAUGCGGGAACAGGACUCCUUCGGCGUCUUCUGGCCCAAAAGAGAUUAGUUGGUUCACGUGGCGCCCCCUCACCCGCUGAAGUGAUGCUGUGGACCAUGCGGAUCUGCAUCUUCCUCUGCCAUUUCGACAACUGGCUUGGCGGGUCAGCUCUUGUAAUCACUUGGAUUACCCUUCGUUGUGUAUCUUGGCGUUGUUCGGCUGGGGGUGUUUGCUCCUGAACUGCUUCACGGGGUGCUUCGACAGUUGUUCCCUGCUGCGGCCUUGGGUCUUGCGCGUUGUCACGUUGCCUAAUGUUUCGGCAUUGCUCCGUGGUGUGCGAAGAGCGUCCGUGAAAGGCGCAGUAGAGGUCUUUUCGGACCUUCUUGCGGGCUGGCUGCUGAUGGUUGGUUGCUUGCUGGGCGUCGAACUUCUUGCGGAGGGCUUGCACUUCUUCGACAGCCAUCACAGCUUUGCCCGCCCGAUCUGUUCUAAACUUUCUCCAAGUCAUGGGGGCUUGGCCUUGCCUUGGCGGCUGUCCCUGGAUCGCCGGCUGAGACUGGCGAACAGAGAGGGGAGGUGGUUCGGCAAUUUGAACUUGCGCUUGAGCUUGAGCAGCGGCGACGGAGGCUUUAUCGUACUCAGCUUGUAUAGCUUAGAAUCCUCCUCACCCCUUGCGAACCCGUCAAUGAUGCGAAGUAGGUGCUCGAGCGUCUGCGGCUCCUUGUUGGCGAUUUUUCUUGUUAGUUCGCCCUCAAGCAGACCGGCCGAAGUGGCGUUUAUAACCGACGCCUCGGUUAUGUCUUGAACUUGGCACCGGGCUUGCGAGAAGCGACGCAUGUACUCCCUUAUCGACUCCCCCGGCCUUUGGCGAAUGCGAAGAAGGUGUUGCUGCGUCUUCGGCUCCUCAUAGGUGCCUCGAAAGUUAAGGACAAAAACAUCGCGCAAUUGCUCCCAUGAGUAAAUGCUAUUGGCUGGUAAAUUGAAAUACCAAGAACGGGCGAUGCCGUCUAGAGCGAGAUGUAUUACCUUCGCCUUGGUAUUUUCGUCACCAUGAGCCGCUUCAAUCGCUGACUCAUAGAUGGAGAGGAACUCCUUCGGGUCAGUUUCGCCCGAAUAACGCGGGACAGGUGGGAACUUGAACUGGGGCGGGAUUGGACGAGUCUUGAUUCCCCCACUCAGCGGUAGCCCCUUUUCGCCUCCCGCCCUUUUUACCGCACCUUGCUGCGGGUACGGUGUGGUGAAGGGCGAAAUCGCAGCUUGUGCGUGGAGUUGGGCCGUGGCAUUCGACUGCCCGGCUCCAACUGGUGGUACUUGCUGGGCCGCCAUGGAUGGGUCAAAGAUUGGCUGCGACCACAUCAUGGCAGCUUGGAUUGGUGCUUGGUUUGUUCCGAAGCCUGGGGUUGGAACUUGCUGCCGAACGGUUGGCACCUGAGCAGUGUUGACGAAGAAGAACUGCGGUCCUUGACUCCACGGCGAAGGUCCCGAGCCUGGCUGAAUUGGUGGCAACCAAUUGGGCGCACCUUGACUUGUAUUCCCCACCGGGUGAGCCGAUGGGGUUGUGCUUGAAAUGUAGUGGGGUUGGUUGAGUUGCUGAAGGAAAGCUUAGAGUUGCGCCUGCAGAGCCGAAGCCCCUUCCGCCACUGAUUGUGGCGCUUCGCCAGGUGGUUGAUGCUGCCCGGCAAAGUACACCGGCGGCUGUGCGGCUAGUGGCGGAGAGGGCUGGGUCACCACUUGCGGCCGGACUUGAGGUGGGGCAUAGCCUGCCGAAUACUGAAGGAUUGGAGCUGACGUGGCCUUGGUCCGCCUUGUCGCCUCGUAUGCUUGUUGUUGUUCUUGCAUUUGGCGAAGCAUGUCUUGUAGCCGUGUCAUGUUCUGCCGCAUGGCUUCCAUGUCGGCUUCGGCUUGCGCUUCGGGGUCUAGACUGAUUUGGGCCUGUACAACGGUGAGCGCAGUUGGCGCCGCCGGCUGCGACGGGGCGGCUUGAGGCACCACCAGUUGGUUAGUCGAAAGGAUCUCCGCCCUGGUCUGGAGUGCCCUUGCCGCCGCAGCCGCCUUCGCCACGUCGGCCGUGUUCGGCACUUGCACUGAGGUUGCGGGGGCCGAAGACGGUUGUGGUGGCGCGGGGGCCGGAGGCGGCUGUGGUGGCGCUUGUGCUUCUCCAUCUUCGGCCACGGACGCCGAAGGCUUUGCUCCUUCCUCGGCGGCCAUGUCCGGUCCGGCGUCGCUCUCCUUCUGCCUGACAACCUUCUCCUUCACGACCCUCUUCGGUGGCAUUCGCUCCCAGUGGUUUCGCUCGGAGUCCCCACGGUCGGCGCCAGCUGCUGUCGAAACGACAACUGCAUACGUCGAAAGACGUGGUUACUCAACAGUGGUUGGGAAAAAUGAAGUGUACUAAAUUUUGAAUUUCACUUGGGAUCCCCCCAUUACAUGGCCCUAGAGGACUAUUUAUAGCCCCAUUACAAGUUCUUACUACCAGGGUUUAGGUUGUAGAGGGGAAUUUACAUGAUUACCCUUACAAAAGGGACAUUUACAGGGGUACAUAAUGUUAUAGGGGCUCAUGGGCCCCUGAUGGGCCGUCUGGCGAUCGCCGGCCUCAUGGGCCGGAAAGGCUUCCUCGGCUCUCGCGGGGGCGAACUUGUCAAGGCGAAGUCAUCCUCCUUCGGCAGACAGUCUUCGCCUUGCACCCUUCGCCUGAGACGCCUCUAGCCUGGCGCUACUCUUCGCCUUGCGCCGUUCUUGCUCCAUAGCCUUCGCCAUGGGUUUCGGCAGGUUUGGUUGAAGGGCCUCAUGCCAUCCGCCAACAAUUACCUUUAUAAGCAUUCUCUUAAUUUAAUACUAGAGUAAACUUAUGCAUAAAUAGUUAAGAAGCUUAUGACAUGUGUAAGGUAAUAUCAACAUCACCUCAGGUUAAGAAGUGUCUAAAUAUAACUUUUAUAAACAUUUACAUACAUUUAGGAAAGGAAAAUAAGUCUUGCUAAUUAUCUAAAAUAAUUUGUGCAAGAUAAAAUCAUUGGAAAAUUCAUGUAGGCUCUACUUAACCUAUACAACACAUAGUAAUUUUGGUAAAAUUUAAUAACUAAAUUUGAUACCUCAAAUAAAUCAGUUAAAUCAGUCAAAUAAUAGACUAAUUAUAAUUCCUAAUUGGCUAAAACCAUACCUUGUCUAAAAGUGCAAUUAAUUGCAUGGAAGUGUAUAGGAGAAAUAAUUUAUUCAAAUACUAGGUCAUUUAUCAUGAAUAAAUAUAAUUUUACCAGAAUUUAUCUUCUCUGUUUAAUCUCCUAAAAAUUCAAACUAAUUUCCAAAGAGCCCAUUUUCUCCUAAUUACUGUGAGUAAUAUAUUCAAAAUUUUUAAGUGCAAUUAAAGAAAAUGGAAUCUAAGAAAAUGGAAUCUAGAUAUCUCGAACUUUCAUAACAAAAAAUCUACACUAAUUUAUCCUGGCCAUAAAAUAAACUAUGGAGUUACAAAGAAAGGGUGAGAGAAUUAAUCCAAAAAAUUCGUCCAAAACCACUUACACGGUUACACCCAAUCAUCUACUCGUACCAGUCUCACCCACCUAGCCUAUAUCACCCUGGACCCACAUGGAAACCUCUCUGAGUCACUUCUUCUCUGUCCAUAUUCUAUUUCUCCUCCAUCCAACACAGUGACAGCCGAGAGAGAGACCGAGGGCGCCGACCGGCACUGGACGGCGUCGACGCGUGGCCUCGACGUGGCAGCGCCGAACCGAGGCUUCACCUCCACCCAGCUGCAUCGCCUCCUCCCCAUUACCACUCCUGAGCCAAGCAAACCGAGGGGGAGAGCUCCGGCUUUUCUUUUUCAUCUCGACCUUGCCGCCGGCCGUGAAGACGACGGCCGUCGCCAUCGCCAUUGUACCGUGGUCGUCUCCUCUCUUCUACCGUUCCAUACUCUCCUCCUCAUGCAGAUCAUCUUCUAUUUUGACACCACGUCAUUUCAUCCAGUGCAGCCACGAGAACGCAGAGCUCGCCGACGAUGCUCUGGAGCGCGCACUGGACGCCGUCGUCGGGUUCUCGUCGUCGUUUUGACCGAACCGAACCACCCCAAGCCGAACACUUGCGCCACCAGGAUAGCCUCGACGUCCUCUUCGAAAGCCCUCAAGAACUCCAGCCAGUGCCGCAACGACGAGGGAGAUCGGCGUCUUCUUCCUCAAGUCCGGCCGCCGACCACCGUCGUUGAUUCCUUGAUCCCGGGUGAGCUUCGGCGCAAUUCCUCACUCGUGUAGCAUCUUUAGAUGAUCGUUGAGCCGUUCCACUCUUUUUCAUGACAGCUCGAAGUCCGGAUGGUGGUUGUUACCGUUGCCAUGCCGAUUUCCGCCGUGGGGAUAUCCUCUGCAUCAUCGUCACUAUCCAGGCCUACCCGUACCUCGUCCGAGAUUUGGUGAGCACCCUGCAGCCUAUGGAACAUACAUGCAUGCACCCAAUUAACCAAUAGAAGCACAUGCACCACCACCCGAAAACAUCCUCUACUCGGACUCGCCGCUGGCGCUACUCCGAUGUCCGCUAUCUGAGAAAUGCAUAGGAAUGGAAUCGCGAUAGCAUGCCCUUCAUUUUCUAUUUUGGUCGCAACCCCAACGGAGUCACCGUUUGUCGCCAACACCGGCGAGCAGAGGUGCCGCCCAUGGCUGCUCUGCUGCUUAUCGAAUGGAGAAGAAACAGGGACUUCAUUUUGAGAAUUUAAACAAAUAUAAGGUUCAUUAUGUAAUGUUUCCACUCAAUGACAUAUGGACCUAGGACUGCGGGUUGAUUUCCUGAAACCAUAGAGGCCUUUUUGCAUAUUGGCCUCAGACCGACAGGUUGACCCCAUGAGUUUAAAAUCUGAAAAUGUAAAAGAUAAUACUAAAAGCCUUUACUUUUAAACAGGAAAACACCUAAACUUGUAAAAUCCAUAUAAAAUCAAAUAUAACUCUUUUUGAGAUUAUUCAAAUUUCUGUGAACUCACCAAGUUAUGAAAUUUAAUGUUAUGGAAUAAAAACUUGCACUCACAGUACAAAUGUAGCCUCUAAAAUUUAUCUAAGAUAAAUCAUACAUAAAGCAUAUACAAACUUAUAAGAUGCAUACAAAAUUCAUUUCAACUCAUUUUAGAGAAAACUUAGUUUCUACAUAUCCACCAACAUGUUCUCUAAAAACAAAGUAAAAUAAAACAUAUACACACUUUACAUCAAAUGCCUCUAAAACUAUUAUCUUUAAAAUAACUAGUUUUGCAUAAGCUGAACUUUAGAAGUUCAUAUAAAAUUCAUCUUUGAUCCUUUUUGAGUAAACUCAAGUUAUGUAGAAUCAUAGAGUUGUGCACUUCAAUGUUAUAAAAUAAAAUGACAUAGUUACAGUAUAAUAAAAACCCCUAAGCAUUUAUGUAAGGAAUAAGCAACAUGGAGCAUACCUUAAAUUGUAAAAUUUGUAGAAAAAUCAUCUUUAGUCUAAAUGAAGUGAACCAAAUUUCUGUAGAACCAGCAAGUAAUAUUCUUCAACCUAGUAGAGUGAAUUAUGGAACCCUCUGUACAGACCAUAGCUCUAAACCUUAAUUUGGUAGAAUAAGUACUAAACCCAUAAUAGUGGUUAAACAAUACAUAUGAAUAUAUAUAUAUAUAUAUAUAUAUAUAUAUAUAUAUAUAUAUAUAUAUACAUGCAUGGUAGCUCCAAAUAAAACUUGUUAGGACUAGUGGAGCCAUAGUUCCAUCCCCAUCCACCAAAACUUAGAUGAACUUAGCUCAUAUAAAAAUUUCUAGGUUGAUAUAAUAUAUUGCUAGCAUAGACUAGAGCUUCCCUAGUUUAUAAAAAUAUGAACCAUGAUAAUAAAAACCAUAAGCUUAUGAACUAAGGUUAGAUUAGUUAACUAAAAUACUCAUUUUAUUCAUCACUACCUAGAUGAGGCAAGUUCUAGACCUAAACCUCUAAAGCCAUGAACCUAUACAACACUAUACACCUAUAACACAUUAUAACUUUUAAAAUACAUAAAGAAUUCACAUUAACUCCAAAAAUUAUGAAACCAAAUGUGUUGGUCUUAGAAAACAUAUAUAUUCACCCCAGCAAACACAAACUUAAUAAGAAUCACCUUACAACAGCAUUUCACAAUAGUACCUAAGUAAAUCCUAUACUAUACCAAGCAAACUUCUAAAAUUCAUAACUCCCAAAUAAAAAGAGAUAAAAUAGAAAUUCUUUCACUUAAAUUCAUCUUAGACCAGUACCUAUCCACUGUGCACAAAUCAUACAUUUUAGAGCAUUUUGGAUUUUUCGCAUAUUUCGGUGUUUAAUUGCAUAACGUGUACUUUAUAUAGAUAAUUGCUUAAUCGGUGAAGAAGUGAAUUAGGUGCUGACAUUUUCCAAAUUCAAGGCAAGUCCCACCUCCCUCUCUUUGAUCACAUUGAACCUAUGUUUUGGAGAUUAUUGAAAAUGUUUGCAAAUCUUGCAUGUCGAUUGUACACUAAUAAAUUAAAAUUUUGUUAAACUUGAUAGACAAACUCGUACUACUUGCAUUAUCAUCUUAACUGCACAUAUAUCCAUAUCCCUCAUUCCUAACCUUAGGAACAAUAUGACUAUACCACUUUAUAUAUGAGUUUUGGUGACACUAGGUUACUAUAAUGCUUAGCCAUGCUUAGAAUGGUCUUCCUUGUCAUUAUGGGCUCAUUACAAAUAUGAAAAUUGAUUUUUAAAUAAUCUUGACAGAACUUUAAUACUUGUGAUUUUGAUAAAUAAAAUGGUGGAAAACAUGGAUUUUAGGUUUAGGCCUUAAGUGGUGCACAUAUAGUGAUUAGUUGUGUACCGAUAGGGAGAGAGUGUGCCCAAACCGACCUAAGGACUUCACUCAAUGUCAGUUCAUUUCGUAUACAAUACAACCACAUAUGCUAGUAUGGGAUAGCCCAAGCUUAGUAAAUUAUUUAUGUUUUAGCCUUACAUUCUGGUAGGUCGGUGUGUAUGAGUUCGUAUAAUUCAGAGGAGCUUCCUAUUUACCCUGAAGUAGUAGUUUAGGUGACUAAGCGUGUCCAAUACAAUGGUAUUGUGCCACGUGGUGGGUUCCCAUUGUGUCCGCCACCACGGCGUUAAGUUUAAGGCGUGGGCCCGCCACUUAACAGUUCUAGGUCAUAUUUCCAGUAUGACUAGGAUGGAGGAACACGUAUCGUGCUGGUGUAAGGCUAAAUCAUGAAUUUUGGAAAAGCUUUGUUGUAGGUAAUAAAUCAGGUACUUAUGUAUCACAUGCCAUGCUCUUGAAUGAUUAUUAUUUCGCAUUAUGUGGGUAAAGUGUACAAACUCUGCAGAGUAAAAACUAAUCGAUUAGCUGUGCUCGCGGUCAUGAGCGGCGUGUGGAUAUGUAUUGAGUAUAGACUUACCUUCAAAUUGUGAUGAGAUUUGAGAAUCAUCUCCUUGCUGCCAUGGAUGGCAAUGAGGUGCAUAUUUACACAUGAUUAAUGUCUACUUUGAUGCUCAUAUGCUAAAAUACUAGCUUGCUGAAAUUUAUUUGAAAGCAAAUCUUAUUUGAAAGUGUUUUAUGCAAAUAAAACUUGCUUUAUGCUAAAAAGAACCAUAUUAUGCCUUCCUUGAUUAUAUGCCUUGCAAGUAGGGUGUUAGGUUUGUCUUGGUGCUUGCCAGUACAUUAUUUCUAAUAAUGUGCUGACUCUUUCUGUCGGAGAUAUGGGCCCGGGGGUAUAUGAAGUGAGGGGAAGUUACCUUCCCAUCCAGCCGUGUGGCUCUACAGCCUAACCCUACUCCCGCACCUCGCGAGUCACAGAAGCAGCCGGGGGGCCUCGGGAUGCCACGUCGUGCCCCUCUGGCUCGCCCGCUACCUCGCCCCGAGGCCCUCACCCAGCUGCCAUGUGGCGGGGGGAGCGAGCGAGAAGGGGACCCAAGCUGAACAGCCAUCAAUGCGCGGCGCCCCAACUGUCCCUCACCGCGUUUAAUGCGGUAAGGGUAGACGUGCGAUGCCGCCUAGCUGACCCACGUCAAUCGGACAAUCGGACGUGACCAGUCUAUGACCGGCCUGUUGCUGGUCACGUCCGAUUGAACGGGCGGCCAUGCCCCCACGUCGCCUCUAUAUCCGACGGAGUGGAGGUAGGUAUGACCCGUCCCAUCGGAGCGUCAUUCGGAGGAGGACCACCACAAUUCUUCACUCAUUUAUGAGGGAAUGACAGGGCUGUCCCCCGUGUCAGGCGGGGGGCAGUGCUGGGUCCCACUCAAGGACUGGCUGUUGCUUAGCUUUCGGGCGAAGGCACGGAUCGUGGCCCGGUCAUGGUAAAGUGGGUCCAAAUCCCAUGGAAGGGUAGGUAGAGGCAGUGCAUGUGGUAUCCCCUUGAACUAUAAAAGGAGGACAUUGCCCAUCGAGAAGGGGGACGACUCUUAGAAAACCUGAACUCUAGGAGAAGAAGGGCGAGAGAGCUCUCCGGAGUGAAGGAAUCCUUGUAACACUUAACCAUAAUCUCAAACACAGGAGUAGGGUAUUACGCUCCACAGCGGCCCGAACCUGUAUAAUCCGAUUGUGUGCAAGCUAGUUAGCAGCCUUAGGGGUGGAUACGUGAUUUCUAAGAGGCGAGCUUCUUCCCCCGGCCGAACCCACGAAAGGGGGGUCUUACGACCUCCCGCUAUCAAGGGACUUCCCUCGACAGCUGGCGCACCAGGUAGGGGGCAGUCGCGCGCUUUGAAGAGAAGUUGUUUUCUUCUGCCCCAAGUUUCCCUGGGCCCUUGACGAUCAUGGUCGAGGUCCUGGAGGUGGAGGAGGCGGUGGCGUUUACCCCCACCCCGUCCGGGAGUGCACGGGGUGGGGAUUCUAGUGGGAGCCGCGGCCCUCGUCACCGUCGCCGUGACUCCCCAACUCCUCCCAGAUGCGAACCCUCGCGGAGGGAGGAUCCCACCCUUUCGGGUGGUUCGGCCCUCUCUCCACCCCGGGCGGAGGGAGGCCACGACGCGUUGGGGCACGACGCCGCCUCACUUACGGCGAUGGCGGUUCGCCCCGAGGCGCGCUUCAGGCAGCGGGUGCCUUUCUGCGGCAUCCCCCCGUGAACUCGGAGCCGGAGACCCCUGUUCAGCGCUGGCUGGACGACGUGGCCAACUUGGUCACCACUGCCCAGCGGCAGUUGGCCGCGGGCGGCCGACCCGCCACCACCAGUACGUCGCGUACCCCCGUUACCCUCUCCUCGUCGGCAAGGAGGAGGGCCCGUCGGUUGGCCACUGCCUCAAGGCGAUCCACGGCUCCAGCAUCGUCGGUGGCCUCGGGAAGCCGGAGGCGUCAUGACGGUCUCUACGGGGAGCAGGACGCUCGGAUCAACAUCGACCGACGCAGGGACGAGCGCCGAGCUGCCCGCAUGGGGGAAGGCACCUCCUCAUCUGGAGUGCCACGUUCCUCCUUGAAGGUGCACUUAAACCCCCUAGUGGGUUUUGGUGAUUAAUGACAAGGUGGUUAAAGGGGACUAACGUGUUUAUCAAGUUUAUUCACAGGAGUUUAGUCCCAAAGCAAGUUGUGAUGGCUAAGAAUGCAAGGAGACCCCCCCAAUUUGAAUGUUCCUAAGUGCGAAAAACACCGAAGGUUAUUAGACUAGGUUUUUCUCUUUCGAAAUUGAGUUUAGGAAAAACCAUACUAUUAAGAGGGGUUUCAAGUGUGGUUCUAGGGUAUACAAAGUGCUCUUAGUCAUAUCCAUGAGUCAAAAUAUUUUUGGAAUCUUUUUGAAAAAUGAUUUUUCUCCCCGGGACAGAGAGGGCUACCCGGAGGUUCUGGCCGGAACUUCCGGGCGCCAUUUCAAAAGCAAAAAUUUCCUAAGUGCUGCCCGAAACCUCCUGGCAGGUUUCCAGUUCAAACUUGUGAGUAACGGCUAGAUGACAUCACCUAGCCGUUAUAUAUAUAUGGAUUUCGUCCCCAGGUCACCCUUUGGCCAUUCCACUUCAGUUCUUUCAUGUUCUAGGGUUUUCUAGCCACUCCCAAGCUUCCUUUGCUUCCUCCACUCAAAUCUAGAGCCUAUCUUGUGAGAUUAAGAGAUUAGAUGAGAGUGUAGGAGUGCUUUGGAGAUGGCUUGAAGAUUAGGUUUGAUUGAGCACUUUGGAUACCUUGUGGGCUGUCACUUGGGCUUAUUACUCUUGGAGAUCUUCUCCUAGACGGUUAGGCAGCGCCGAUCCGAGGCUUCACCUCCACCCAGCUGCAUCGCCUCCUCCCCAUUACCACUCCUGAGCCAAGCAAACCGAGGGGGAGAGCUCCGGCUUUUCUUUUUCAUCUCGACCUUGCCGCCGGCCGUGAAGACGACGGCCGUCGCCAUCGCCAUUGUACCGUGGUCGUCUCCUCUCUUCUACCGUUCCAUACUCUCCUCCUCAUGCAGAUCAUCUUCUAUUUUGACACCACGUCAUUUCAUCCAGUGCAGCCACGAGAACGCAGAGCUCGCCGACGAUGCUCUGGAGCGCGCACUGGACGCCGUCGUCGGGUUCUCGUCGUCGUUUUGACCGAACCGAACCACCCCAAGCCGAACUCUUGCGCCACCAGGAUAGCCUCGACGUCCUCUUCGAAAGCCCUCAAGAACUCCAGCCAGUGCCGCAACAACGAGGGAGAUCGGCGUCUUCUUCCUCAAGUCCGGCCGCCGACCACCGUCGUUGAUUCCUUGAUCCCGGGUGAGCUUCGGCGCAAUUCCUCACUCGUGUAGCAUCUUUAGAUGAUCGUUGAGCCGUUCCACUCUUUUUCAUGACAGCUCGAAGUCCGGAUGGUGGUUGUUACCGUUGCCAUGCCGAUUUCCGCCGUGGGGAUAUCCUCUGCAUCAUCGUCACUAUCCAGGCCUACCCGUACCUCGUCCGAGAUUUGGUGAGCACCCUGCAGCCUAUGGAACAUACAUGCAUGCACCCAAUUAACCAAUAGAAGCACAUGCACCACCACCCGAAAACAUCCUCUACUCGGACUCGCCGCUGGCGCUACUCCGAUGUCCGCUAUCUGAGAAAUGCAUAGGAAUGGAAUCGCGAUAGCAUGCCCUUCAUUUUCUAUUUUGGUCGCAACCCCAACGGAGUCACCGUUUGUCGCCAACACCGGCGAGCAGAGGUGCCGCCCAUGGCUGCUCUGCUGCUUAUCGAAUGGAGAAGAAACAGGGACUUCAUUUUGAGAAUUUAAACAAAUAUAAGGUUCAUUAUGUAAUGUUUCCACUCAAUGACAUAUGGACCUAGGACUGCGGGUUGAUUUCCUGAAACCAUAGAGGCCUUUUUGCAUAUUGGCCUCAGACCGACAGGUUGACCCCAUGAGUUUAAAAUCUGAAAAUGUAAAAGAUAAUACUAAAAGCCUUUACUUUUAAACAGGAAAACACCUAAACUUGUAAAAUCCAUAUAAAAUCAAAUAUAACUCUUUUUGAGAUUAUUCAAAUUUCUGUGAACUCACCAAGUUAUGAAAUUUAAUGUUAUGGAAUAAAAACUUGCACUCACAGUACAAAUGUAGCCUCUAAAAUUUAUCUAAGAUAAAUCAUACAUAAAGCAUAUACAAACUUAUAAGAUGCAUACAAAAUUCAUUUCAACUCAUUUUAGAGAAAACUUAGUUUCUACAUAUCCACCAACAUGUUCUCUAAAAACAAAGUAAAAUAAAACAUAUACACACUUUACAUCAAAUGCCUCUAAAACUAUUAUCUUUAAAAUAACUAGUUUUGCAUAAGCUGAACUUUAGAAGUUCAUAUAAAAUUCAUCUUUGAUCCUUUUUGAGUAAACUCAAGUUAUGUAGAAUCAUAGAGUUGUGCACUUCAAUGUUAUAAAAUAAAAUGACAUAGUUACAGUAUAAUAAAAACCCCUAAGCAUUUAUGUAAGGAAUAAGCAACAUGGAGCAUACCUUAAAUUGUAAAAUUUGUAGAAAAAUCAUCUUUAGUCUAAAUGAAGUGAACCAAAUUUCUGUAGAACCAGCAAGUAAUAUUCUUCAACCUAGUAGAGUGAAUUAUGGAACCCUCUGUACAGACCAUAGCUCUAAACCUUAAUUUGGUAGAAUAAGUACUAAACCCAUAAUACCAUAAUAGUGGUUAAACAAUACAUAUGAAUAUAUAUAUAUAUAUAUAUACAUGCAUGGUAGCUCCAAAUAAAACUUGUUAGGACUAGUGGAGCCAUAGUUCCAUCCCCAUCCACCAAAACUUAGAUGAACUUAGCUCAUAUAAAAAUUUCUAGGUUGAUAUAAUAUAUUGCUAGCAUAGACUAGAGCUUCCCUAGUUUAUAAAAGUAUGAACCAUGAUAAUAAAAACCAUAAGCUUAUGAACUAAGGUUAGAUUAGUUAACUAAAAUACUCAUUUUAUUCAUCACUACCUAGAUGAGGCAAGUUCUAGACCUAAACCUCUAAAGCCAUGAACCUUCUCCUAGACGGUUAGGUAUCGCCUCGGUUUUGGAGAUGGCUUGAAGAUUAGGUUUGAUUGAGCACUUUGGAUAUCUUGUGGGCUGUCACUUGGGCUUAUUACUCUUGGAGAUCUUCUCCUAGACGGUUAGGUAUCGCCCGUGAGCUCUCAAAGAUCUUGUGGAUGUCCCGGGAAAGUUUGUGAAGGCUUUCGUCACCUCCGCAAGGAAACGAGGUAAGUGAGUAAAGAUUCUUGUGCUGAGUUUCAAGAGGUUGUCCUUGGUAGCGCAACUUGCACUUGUGGUCUUUUCUAGAAGGAAUUGUAAGUUGGAUCUUGGUGGUCACUCAAUUCUAGAAAACGACCUAGAAGUGUUGAGUUGAAGGCUGUGGACUUCUUCUGAGAUCUUUGCAUAAGUGAGGUAAGGGGUUAAUUGAGACCCGGCUCUUUAAGCACCUCAACGGAGAGUAGGAUCCGUGUGAUCCGAACUUCUGGAAAAAAUCUCCUUUGUCUCUCUUGUGCAUGAUCUGUGUUUGAAUUGGCUGGUAUCUUGUGUUUUUCAUCUUGUGCAACCCUGUGCCUGAUUUUCCCUAGCUAGGACCUAUUUUUCUUCUAUUAUUUUCGUUUAUCUCUGUUGCCCGGAAGUUCCUGGCUCAAGAACUCUGGAAGUUCCGAGCUGCUCAUCACUGCUAGGAAGUUCCGGUGUUUAUCACUAGAAGGUUCCCGGCCCUGUCAAUUUAACCGCUGCGAUUGUUGAGAAAAUUUCAGGAAAGCCUAUUCACCCCCCCUCUAGGCUACAUCUCUGCACGUUCAAUUGGUAUUAGAGCAUAGUGCUCUUAAUUCAAGCUUCACCGCUUUGAGUGUUCCACGAUGUCGGACUUAGGGGGAAAGUACGGGGAAAUUGGUAAUGAAGAUGGAGCGAGCAGCAAGGGAACUCCAUCACCCGAGGGAGCUACUAUACCUUUUGAUUAUAGCAAACUGCAAACUUACCAUUCCUCCUCACAACUUCGUCUCCGUGCCUUCCGGGCGUGCUCCUCAAUUUGAUGGGACACAUUAAGCCGCUUGGAAGCACAAGAUGAAGUUGCAUCUAAUCUCUUUGCAUCCAAGUAUUUGGAAAGUUGUUUGUACAAGUAUUGACGUACCUCAUGAAGACAUGGAGCUCACUUCGGAGCAAGAACAACUCAUCCACCGCAAUGCUCAAGCUUCCAAUGCAAUUCUCUCCGCCUUGAGUCCGGAAGAGUUCAACAAGGUUGAUGGACUAGAGGAGGCCAAGGAGAUAUGGGGUACUUUGCAAUUGGCUCAUGAGGGAUCACCCGCCGUUCGUGAUGUCAAGAUUGAAUUAUUGAAAGGAAGGCUUGGAAGAUUUGUGAUGGAUGACAAGGAGAUACCACAAGAGAUGUAUGAUAGGAUGAUGAUUCUUGUCAACAAGAUUAAAGGACUUGGGAGUGAGGACAUGACAAAUCACUUUGUUGUCAAGAGACUUCUUCGUGCUUUUGGUCCAAGAAAUCCCACUCUUGUAUCAAUGAUACGGGAAAGGAAAGACUUCAAGAGGCUCACCCCAAGUGACAUUCUUGGAAGAAUUGUGUCUCAUGAGAUGCAAGAAGAGAAAGCUCGUGAAGUGAGGUAAAUGGUGAAGAAUGCUGUCAUGAUCAAAAAUCAAGAAGUUGCUUUGAAGGCAAAACAAGAAGAAGAGUCAAGUUGUGAAGAAAGUGAAGAUGAAGAAAUGGCUUUUAUUGUCAAGAGAUUCAAGCACUUUCUUCGCAAGAGUGGCUAUGGCAAAGGGAGGAAGGAUGAUGACAAGGGAAAGAGGCAAUCAAAGAGAGCGUGCUUCAAUUGUGGCGAAUAUGGCCACUUUAUUGCCGAUUGUCCCAAGUCAAAUGAAGCUAAGGCUAAGGGAGGCAAGAAGAAGCCAGAGCGUGCUCAUGUGGCGGAGGCACACAUGGCGGAAGUUUGGUACUCCGAAGAUGAAGAAGAUCUCGAGGUCAAGCCCAAGCCCAAGUCAAAAGACAAGGUUGAAGGAGAAGGUGGUGUUGCUACCGUCGCCUUCAAGUCAUCUUCUUCAAGCAAGGAGCGUCUCUUCAACAACUUGAGUGAUGACGACGACGACUCCUACCACUACUCUUGCUUCAUGGCCCAAGGCCGCAAGGUGAUGACUCAAAAGCCCACUCAAACUUCUCUUGAUGUUGAUUCUAGUGAUAAGGAAAGUGAUAAUGAAUUAGAUGAUGUGCUUAAGAGUUUUAGCAAACCCGCUAUGCAACAUUUGGCUAAGUUAAUGAGAGCUUUGGAUAGUAAAGAACAAUUACUCGAAAGGCAAGAAGAAUUGCUUAUUCUUGAGAAGAAAAGAAACCUUGCCUUAGGGGAGAGCUUAGCUAAAGAAUGUGCUAAAAAUGAACACCUUACUAAUGAGUUUAAUUUGGCUAAUGGUUCUUUAGCUAGCAUUAGAAAUGUCAAUGAAACUCUUCAAGAGAAAUUUGCUAGUUUAGAAAAAAGUCAUAAAGAUCUUGAAGUUCAAUUUGACACUCUUUGGAAUAGCACUUCUCAACCAAAUGUGGUUUCCAAUUCUUCUAACCCUUCUACUAGCAAUGGUUGUGCUAGGUGUUACAAUAUUGAUUUGAACUCUUAUGCUACUAGUGUUGAUGCUAUGCAAGCUCUUAAGAAAGAGAAUGAAAGGUUGGGCACUUUGGUGAAAUAUGGGUGCAUGAAGACAUACCAUUCAAAAGAUGCCCUUUACAGGACCAUCACCGCUCAUCCUAACAAGGAUGGACACGAGCUCGGGUUUUCGGGUGGAAGUCCUGUGUCUAAGCGUGUGAUGAUAAAUGGGAAAGAAUGCUUGAUGUUUGUGAGAGAAGGUAAAGCUCCACAAGCAAGUGAGGUGACUAGUCUUGUGAGCAGCCAGGGACCCGGAACAUCCGGACAAACCGGGCGAAACUUCCAGGUGGGAGUCUCUGUCUCUCAAAAAUUCCCACCAGGAAGUUCCGACCAGUUUACCAGGAAGUUCCGGGCCAAUGGCUGUGCACAAGACAUGACCGGAAGUUCCGGGCAUAAUGUCAGGAGGUUCCGUCCAGAUGGUCUUUACUAUGAUUCAUAUGUAAUUUCCAAAAAUUCAGAGGGCAAAGUGGUUGCUUAUUUUAAUGGGAAUUACAAUGAUGAGUACCGCACUUGUGUGUGGGUGCCAAAGGCUUUGGUGACUAACAUCAAGGGACCCAAACUUAGACAAGUUUGGGUUCCUAAAUCCCAAGCUUGAUUUCUUUUGUAGGCAUACUCCUCUGGUGGUUCAAGUUGGGUUGUGGACAGUGGUUGCACCAAUCAUAUGACUGGAGAGAGGAGUAUGUUUACAAGUCUUGAUGAGGAGAACGGAACUCGUGAGAAUAUUGUGUUUGGAGAUAAUGGUAAAGGAAAGGUAAUUGGUCUAGGUAAAAUUGCCAUCUCCAAUAAUCAAUCUCUCUCUAAUGUUCUUCUUGUCAAUUCAUUAAGCUACAAUUUAUUAUCCAUUUCUCAAUUAUGUAAGUUGGGUUACAAUUGCUUGUUUACCGAUAAGGAUGUGACCGUCUUUAGAAGGGAUGACUCCUCCAUAGCAUUCAAAGGCAAGUUAAAGGGUGAUCUCUAUCUUGUCGAUUUCGAUGUGGAUAGAGUGAAUCCGGAAGCUUGUUUGAUUGCUAAAUCCUCCAUGGGUUGGCAAUGGCAUCGUAGACUAGCCCAUGUUGGAAUGCAGAAUUUGGCAACUUUUCUAAAGGGGGAACACAUCUUCGGGCUCACUAAUGUCACAUUUGAGAAAGAUCGUGUGUGUAGUGCUUGCCAAGUCGGGAAACAAGUUGGGAAUCCAUAUCCUAUCAAGAACAUCAUGACUACAACACACCCUCUUGAGCUUCUACAUAUGGAUUUAUUUGGGCCCAUUGCUUACAUAAGUAUUGGAGGUAACAAGUAUGGUUUUGUUAUUGUUGAUGACUUUUCCCGCUUCACUUGGGUGUAUUUUCUCCAUGAUAAGAGUGAGGCUCAAGAUGUCUUCAAGCACUUCGCCAAGCAAGCCCAAAACCUCUAUGAUCUCACCAUCAAGAGGGUGUGAAGUGACAAUUUAGGAGAAUUCAAGAACACUCAAGUGGAGGAUUUCCUUGAUCAAGAGGGAAUCAAGCACGAGUUCUCCACCCCCUAUGAUCCUCCUCAAAAUGGCAUCGUUGAGAGGAAGAACCGAACUCUUAUUGAAGCCGCAAGAGCAAUGCUUGAUGGGUACAAGACUUCGGAUAUCUUUUGGGCAGAGGCCGUGAGUACCGCAUGUCAUGCCAUCAACCGCUUGUACCUCCACAAGAUCCUAAAGAAAACUUCAUAUGAGCUCUUGAGUGGUAAGAAGCCUAAUGUUUCAUAUUUUCAUGUCUUUGGGAGCAAAUGUUUUAUUUUAAGUAAGAGGCCUCGCUCAUCUAAGUUGUCACCUAAGGUGGAUGAGGGAUUCUUACUUGGCUAUGAAUCAAAUGCACAUGCCUAUCGUGUCUUCAACAAAACCUCCGGUAUUGUUGAAGUCACUAGGGAUAUGACAUUUGAUGAAUCUAAUGGCUCCCAACGAGAGCAAGUUGUUGUACAUGUUGUAGGGGAUGUGGAUCCAAGUCAAGCUAUAGGUACUAAGGCUAUUGGAGACAUACGAGCAGUCGAGUCGCAGGAUGACCAAGAAGAUAGGGAUCAACCUCCGUCAUCGACAUCCAAUAGCCCUACAAGUGCUGUGUCUACUGAGCCGGAAGUUCCAGGUCCUAUUGACCGAAACCUCCGGAGAUCUCCAGGCCCGGAAGUUUUGGGUUCUACAGUCCGGAACCUCCGGACCAGUGGCAGUGAAGACGUGCCAACGGCACAAGUGGAUGGGAUCAAUGCUGAGGGCACUUUAGAGCAUUCUGAUCAGGCUCAGGUCCUCCCAGUGCACCAUCCAAGGAUACAUCACACUGUCCAAAGAGAUCAUCUCGUUGACAACAUACUUGGUGACAUAAGAAAAGGGGUAACUACUCGCUCUCGUGUCGCAAGUUUUUGUCAACACUUCUCGUUUGUCUCUUCUUUGGAACCAACCAGGGUGGAAGAUGCGCUUGGUGAUCCUGAUUAGGUGAUGGCUAUGCAAGAGGAGUUGAAUAACUUCACUCGCAAUCAAGUGUGGACUUUGGUGGAGAGAUCCAAGUAAAAUGUCAUCGGCACCAAGUGGAUCUUUCGCAACAAGCAAGAUGAACAUGGGGUGGUUGUAAGGAACAAAGCCCGGUUAGUUGCGCAAGGGUUCACCCAAGUCGAGGGUCUCGAUUUUGUUGAAACCUUCGCACCUGUAGCUCGCCUUGAGUCAAUUAGAAUUCUUUUAGCCUAUUGCCACUCACCAUGAUUUCAGGUUAUUCCAAAUGGAUGUCAAGAGUGCCUUUCUCAAUGGACCUAUCUCGGAGUUGGUCCAUGUGGAGCAACCACCGGGGUUCGAGGAUCCAAAAUUGCCAAAUCAUGUGUACAAGCUCCACAAGGCGCUCUACGGGCUCAAACAAGCCUCUAGAGCUUGGUAUGAAUGUCUCCGAGAUUUUCUUUUGAAAAAUAAUUUUGAAAUUGGAAAGGCGGAUACUACUCUCUUCAAUAAAAAAUUUAAGAGUGAUUUAUUCAUAUGCCAAAUUUAUGUCGAUGACAUAAUAUUUGGUUCCACUAAUGCUUCUUUUUUGAAGAAUUUAGUAGUAUCAUGACUAAAAAGUUCGAGAUGUCUAUGAUGGGCGAGUUGACCUUCUUCCUCGGGCUACAAGUGAAGCAAGCACAAGAGGGCACUUUUAUCUCUCAAACCAAGUACGUGAAGGACAUUCUCAAGAAGUUUGGGAUGGAAGAUGCCAAACCCAUCAAGACUCCUAUGCCUACCAAUGGCCACCUAGACCUUGACGAUAAUGGUAAAUGUGUGGACCAAAAGGUAUAUCGCUCCAUGAUAGGAUCCUUGCUUUACUUAUGUGCAUCUCGUCCCGAUAUCAUGCUUAGUGUUUGCAUGUGUGCUCGCUUUCAAGCGGAACCUAAAGAGUGCCAUUUGAUUGCUGUCAAGAGAAUUAUAAGAUAUUUAGUUCAUACUCCUGAUCUUGGCUUGUGGUAUCCUAAGGGUUGUGACUUUGAGCUUUUGGGCUAUUCCGAUUCAGAUUACGCCGGGUGUAAGGUUGAUAGAAAAAGCACAACCGGGACUUGUCAAUUUCUUGGGCGUUCCCUUGUUUCUUGGUCCUCCAAGAAGCAAAAUUCCAUUGCAUUAUCCACCGCCAAGCCGAAUAUGUCGCCGCCGGUUCUUGUUGUGCCCAACUCCUUUGGAUGAAACAAACUCUAAAAGACUUUGGCUACAACUUCACCAAGAUCCCACUCCUAUGUGACAAUGAGAGUUCCAUCAAAAUAGCCAAUAAUCCCGUUCAACACUCUUAAUGAGGCAAACCAGGAUGAUCUUCGCCGCGACGAUCUCGAUUAUCUUGAAGAACGGAGAAGGCCUGCGGCCCUGCGUGCUGCGCGCUACCAACAAAGCCUGCGGCGCUACCAUCAGCGCCACGUCCGGGCCCGAUCACUGUAAGUUGGCGACCUCGUCCUACGCCGCGUGCAAUCGCGUCUAGGGCUGAGCAAGCUCUCGCCAAUGUGGGAAGGGCCAUACAAAGUGAUCGGCGUUCCCCGGCCAGGCUCCGUUCGACUAACCACGGAGGACGGCACAGAGUUGCCUAACCCCUGGAAUAUCGAACACCUCCGUCGCUUCUAUCCAUAGCGUCGAGAUUUUUUGCUUUCCAGGCGCUCGGGCCAACCCCCGCACAACCACUCGGCUUGUGCGAGCUUGGCCGGGGGCUACCACUGGGUAUCCUUUUCCCUUUACAAGCAAUGAAUUUUUUCUAUUUAGUGUGAAGCCCGUUAUCCUCACUCUUUCCUCUGGCUUGUCCUGGUUCAAACGACAGUUCGCACUUACUCCGAACCCUAAGUGCCGUGGGGCGACCUGCAAACCACCGAAAGGGAGCCCAAACGCGGGCCGUGCCCCGGGUUGCGCCAAACCCCGGGGGCUCGGAGGGGCCUACACACGGCCGUCCCCGACCCCCGGUCGUCGUAGCCUCGGUCUGGCCAGUCCCGCUGGGUGGCUCCCUCGAGGCGACAGUCUUGCCCUUCACCACUUAGGUACCACGGACUGAGCGCGGAUUUACCUUUUCGCUAGAAUAAGCCCGAGGGGGGAGGAUGGGGUAAAAGCGUCAUUUCAAUCACAGGCAGAUUAAUUAUAUACUUUUGCUCUUGUUUUUUCUUCUUUCUGUGCCGCAGGCAUUCAAUGAAAAAAGCAAUGGGGUAAAAAGUGCGAAAAGGAAGUUUUAAUUGCGGACAAGACAAGACGGCACGAUGGCCUAAAUACAGGAAGUGUCCGCUGUAGGCACAGAACAAAAGGAAAUUGAAAGCGCGGGUAAUCACGGAGUGCCCAAGCCCCCGAGGCCGGCGCCGCUAACGACGUCGUCCCAGUCCUCGCCGACGACGUCGUCAUCUUCGUCCCCGCUCCCGCUCUCCUCGUCCGAGGCAAGCCCGAAGGUGAACCGGGGGGCCAACCCCUCGAAGUUAUAGACGAUCGCGUCGGCCGCCUCCCGGACUUGCUCCCGAGCCCUUGCCUCGGUCCCCGGUGGGAAAUCCUCGAGUGCGCGCCAUGGGACGAAGUCGGGGUCGCUCGCGUGGUGGCUCGCGAGGACUAGUUCCACCGCGGCCCGCGCCAAAGAAGCCGACGACAAUUUCACGGUCUCGCUGACCUCCUCCUCCAGCCUCUCCAGAUCCGCCGCCAGACCGUCCAGCCGGAACGCGAGUGCCGGCUGUGUGGGCGGAAGCUUACUAUCCCGGCGCACGGAGAUGCCGACUCGGCGCCCCGCACGCUCCAGCCGGUCGACGGCGUCGGAGAGCUGCCCGGGUCCGAUCCCGUUGGUGAGGCGGAGGACCGCAAUCUCCCCAGCCUGAUCUUGCACCAAGCGCUCUAGGUCGGCGAGAGCUCUCUGAGCCGUGGCAAGCUGGCUCACCAACUCCGCGCCGCCGGCUUGCCCGCCCGCCGCCAGGUCCUUCUCCCGGGCCUCCAGCUCAGAAGCCCUCACCGCUAUCGCCGUGCGCUCGGUGCGAGCACUCUCCAAAUGCCGAGCCUCGCGCCCGGCAAUGGCCUCCUCGCGUUUCGCGAGUUGCUCGCCCAGCCGGCACAAGGCCACCUCACGGCGGUUCACCUCGGCUUCGCGCUCGGCGAGUGCGACGUCCCGUUCCUGGCACGCCUCUUCCCGGAGCCGUAGCUCCUCCGCGUGGCGGUCCGCUGAAGCUGUCGCGGUGAGGGUGAUCCGGUCACGCUCGGCUACGGCCUCUUCACGAAGGCGAAGGGAGACCUCCACCUCCACCGCCGUUCUCUCGUGGGCGGCCAAGGUGGACUCCCGCUGAUCUAGCAGACGCUCUCGGUCCUCCAGCGCCUAAGCCUGUCUCUCCAGCUUCUGGGCUCGCUGCGCCUGCUCCUGGCCGCGCACGUUUUGCUCGCGCUGGAUCCGGUCGAGGACCUCGAUUCGCCAGCGAAUCGUUGUCUCAAACUCCUGCGCGGAGCGGGCACGCUCAUCCAAGGCCCUGCGUUCAGCCUUGAGCGCCGCCGUCCGGGCCCACAGCGAGGCGUCGGCCUCCGAUACCCGCCGCUCCUGGGCAGCAGCUGCGUCGAGGAUACCGCGGGCGUCCUUGAUCCUCUUUGCCCGGUCCUCGGCAUGGGCCUCAUGCUGUAGGCGGAUGUCGCCCAGUGCUUCAUCCAGGACGCUUGAGGCAAUCAGCGCCGCCUGCCGCUCUUCCUCCGUCUCCCGCAUGACAGAGUCCAGCGUCUCCUCGCGCGCUUGGAUUUCGGCUAGUUGGGCUUGACGCAUUUUGCGUCCCACCCUCACCAUGUCGUCAACGGCGCGGCGCCCCUCGUCAACUUGCACGCGGUCCGCAGCGAGUUGUGCCCACUCUGCCUCCAGGGCUGCUCGCUCUUCCACCAGGGCUUGAACAUGGGCAUUGAGCCCCUCCCGUACGGUGGAACCGGCGGCGGCGAGCACCUGCAGGAGCGGCUCCAUACUUGCCGGAGUCGGAGAAGAAAAAGUCGCGGUCCGCCCCCGAGACGACGGAGUGCUGCUGGAUCCCCCGCGAGACUGGGGCUGCCCUCGGCCCCCUUCUGCGCGACCAGCCCCGAGGGCGCCCCAAGUGCAAGGGGGAGCGGCUGUCCCUCUCGCCCCCCGCCUCGAGUCCUCGGGUAGAUUCGGCCUCGGCCUCGGGCUCGGCCCCGCCCCUAGUUUCGGUCUCGACCUUGAGCCUAGGGCCGCCUCCGGUCGCGGCCUCCGAGCCGCAACCUCCCUCACCCCACGAUCCCGGGUGGCGCUCCGCAUGAACCCUGGUCUCGGAGCCACCUCCGGGAGGGACGUCACCGCCGCUAUCGCCCGCAACGGGUCGAGCCCCAGCUAGGGUUAGCUCGGGGUCGGACCCGGUAUGCGGAGUCCAGGCCCAGCACCCGCCAAAUCACCAUCUUCGCGUCCUCCUCCCCCAGUCCCAACACUCAACCACAUGCAUGCGCAUGGGGUCGUUGGGACUAGUGUACACCCACGCGCCACGGGAUCGAUCCUGGAGUGGUGCGAUGCAGUGACGGAAAUAGUCACCAAAGACCAUCGCCCCUGUGAGGCCCAGGCUUCGCAGGCCCCUAAGGCGAUCCCACACUGCGUCGUACUCCUCGCCCAGUUCCGAAACCGCCAGCCAUGCGGCGGAUCUUUCGGGAGGACCGGCGGGAAGCCGAAGUCGCGGGUGGUCCGGCAACGCGGUGUAGAGCCAGUCCUUCUUCCAGUCCUCCCAUUUCUUGCGGAGAUGACUCUCGAUGUAUUGCCCCGCCGUGCCUGGCCGGGGCUGGAAGUAACAUCCCCCUACCACCGCACCUUGCAGCAGCUGCGGGAUGAAGAAAGACUGGAACAGCCGCAUCGUCGGCCGCACCCCGAUGAACAUCUCGCACAGAUGCGUGAAGAUGGCCAGCGUCAUCAUGGCAUUGGGUGCGAGAUGCAAGGCAUGGAUUUCAUGGAAGUCCAAAACCUCAUGGAAGAAUCCGGAUAACGGCGGAAUCAACCCCGCCAUAGCGACGGACAAGAGGUGCACGGAUCGCUCCGGAUACCGCGGCCGUGGCCGCGACUCCCCCGCCCUCGCGACGGCGUCUUCCGGCAUAAUCUUGCGGGGGAGGCUAAGGUGCCUAUCCACCAUAAUGCGUGAUGCCGGGAGCACUGUGUCACCAGUGUCUUGAGCCAUGAUGGCCGGCGGAGAAGCGGCGGAGGGCUUGGCGUGCGGAAUAGUGUGAAGCGGUGAGAAUGUUAGGGCUAAAGGAGCGAGAAGACGAGUGGGCGGUUGGCGAAAGGAAGGAGGCAAAGUCCCUGCCUCUGUAUCCUUUUAUCCUCGCCUCACCCACGCUCACCUCCUCGUUUCACGCCCUCACGGUUGCCCCCACGAUUCUCGCGCCUGCGGUUGUCUCUUCGUUUCCCGCGUCCACUCAUCACGUUGCCCAUUGAAUCCGUGCCCCGCCUUUAGUGCACCUAUCAGCGGUACACUCGAAGUAGGGCACGCAACGGUCACGGGCGCAACCUGAGCGAACCGUCACCUCUACCGCCGCAUGAGUAGCGAGAGAGGGAAUCGAGGCAUGGUCUGACCGACCCCCCGAUUUUCGCGCCUUAAACAUCCUCAUCAUCAGCGUGGUCAGUGGCGGCCAAACCGUUGCUGUGGUUGACACGCCAACUUGGCCACUCGACAACAUUCCCUUAGAUUCCCUGCCGGGCCCACAACCCCAGCUUGAGAAGUCGUGAGGCAACACGUCAGACCGACCUCAGGAGGCCGAUGUCCGAUAUGGUGCCGGGGGCUAAUGUCGGAGAUAUGGGCCCGGGGGCAUGCGAAGUAAGGGGAAGUUACCUUCCCAUCCAGCCGCGUGGCUCUACAGCCUGGCCCUACUCCCGCACCUCGCGAGUCACAGAAGCGGCCGUGGGGCCUCGGGGUGCCACGUCGUGCCCCUCGGGCUCUCCCGCUACCUCGCCCCAAGGCCCUCGCCCAGCUGCCAUGUGGCGAGGUGAGUGAGCAGAAAGGGGACCCAGGUUGAACAGCCAUCAAUGCACGGUGCCCCAACUGUCCCUCACCGCGUUUAAUGCGGUAAGGGCAGAUGUGCGAUGCUGCCUAGCUGACCCACGUCAAUCGGACAUGACCAGUCUGUGACCGGCCUGUUGCCGGUCACGUCCGAUUGAACGGGCGGCCGUGCCCCCACGUCGCCUCUGUAUCCGGCGGAGUGGAGGUAGGUAUGACCCAUCCCAUCGGAGCGUCAUUCGGAGGAGGACCACCACAAGUCUUCACUCAUUUAUGAGGGAAUGACAGGGCUGUCCCCCGUGUUAGGCGGGGGGCGGCGCUGGGUCCCACUCAAGGACGGGCUGCUGCUUAGCUUCCGGGCGAAGGCACGGAUCGUGGCCCGGUCAAGGUAAAGUGGGUCCCCCUCCCAUGGAAGGGUAGGUAGAGGCGGUGCAUGUGGUAUCCCCUUGAACUAUAAAAGGUGGACCUUGCCCACCGAGAAGGGGGACGACUCUCAGAAAACCUGAACUCUAGGAGAAGAAGGGCGAGAGAGCUCUCCGGAGUGAAGGAAUCCUUGUAACACUUAACCAUAAUCCCAAACACAGGAGUAGCGUAUUACGCUCCACAGCGGCCCGAACCUGUAUAAUCCGAUUGUGUGCAAGCUAGUUAGCAGCCUUAGGGGCGGAUACAUGAUUUCUAAGAGGCGAGCUUCUUCCCUCGGCCGAACCCACGAAAGGGGGGUCUCACGACCUCCCGCUAUCGAGGGACUUCCCUCGACACUUGCUGUUGAAUUAACGUUUUGCUUGCAGGUUUUAGAUUGUCUUUGAGUGAUGUGGGUAUUCGACUGCUUCUUCUGGAACUUGAACUUAAUGGAGUAAACCCCUAGUCGGUUUGCUUGUGGAUUGGGUAGACAAGCUUCCGCUGUUCUAUUAUUUAUUUGGCCAGUCAGCCAAUGUAACUAAAGUAGAUGUAGUGUAUAAUCGCUUUCAUCUUAUUUGUGUUUGCUAUGUAUAACCAUGCUUGAGAUGAAAGUGUGAAUCUAGUGCACAUCCUAGAAACUAGAUUCACAUGAGUAUGAGUUAAGAAUAUUUGAGAUGUUAUAGAUCUUUAGCCAUUUUUGUCAAGUCUCCUGAAUGUGUAACACAUCUGGUCGCCGCCUUCGAGUGGUUCGACGGGUACAUCUCAGGCUGAAGUUGACUGGUAGGCUAAAGGCCCAACAAUGUCUCCAAUAUUCCUCUCUCGAGGCGUCGGAUAUUUCAUUAUGCUUGUUUGAUGACUUGAAUUAUUCAUUUCAUCUCUCAAUUAUAAUGGAAGGUCUGGAGAACCUACAAUACUUAUGCACUACUACGUUAGAGUGAUCAACAUUUUGGGUUGGUCCAAAGGAAAUAAUGAAAUAAAGUGCCAAAAAUGGCACAAUAUUCAGAGAAGCAUACUCUAAUGGUAGACAUGGUUGAGUUGAUUUUGGUCAAUUGUGGUAAAACUACACCUUUUAUUUCCACAUACUGUAGAUAGUUACAGAAACAUAUACACCUUUGUUGAAACUGUAGAAAGUAUAAAUACAAAAAUAAUUGAAAUGUGUCUAUUUGGUAUAGGAAAAAGGUAAUCAAAGCAAUGGAUCAAUUUCUAAUUCUACAAAGCAUGUUGAGUAAUAUAGCAUCACCACCUCAGUACAUAAUAGUAUGCGAACAUAAAAUUACCUGGCUUGGUGAUCACAAAAGCAGCAAUGAAGACAUGUAGAAAUGCGUUAAUCCCUUAUAUAUACAAAACCGUGCGAGUCAUUAAAAUUCCACAUCAAUAUUUGGCUAUCCUGUGAGCCAAGGUGAGCCAAGGUCCAGUGCUCACCUUCACUAUGCUCCCUGGAAUGCCUGAAAAUCAAAAUCGGCAUAAACGCUCAAUGAGAUGUCAAAAACAAUUCCCUGCGCAACAAUAAUAUAUUCUAUAAUUUAACUGAAUAAUAGUUUUGUGGUGUACUAAUUGGUGGGAUAGAAUAGAGCAGUGAAUACUGUCUAGCAACACAACUAAAAUGAGCAUACAUAUGGAGGAAAAAUGGACAACAUUUAAUACAUCCCAAAGAAUUACUUGAGGAAAAUGCAAGAAUAUAAAGCAGUGGCAGGUGGAGCGUUACCAAAGAGGACCACUCAGCUAGAAGCCUGAAAGCCUUUAACCUGAAGUAUACAAAACAGGAUAAGAAUUAGCAGUUAAAGCUUCAUGACAAGCAAUAGCAUCAUUGGAAAAAUAAAAGCACCAAAAAACUGAAGCAAUCGAGAGAAACUGUUGGAAGCAUAAAGUGCUCCCUUGUCAUUAUUAAGCGUACAAAAUCAUGAUUUAUCCACUUACCAUAAUAUCCCAAAGUCAAGAGUAAACGUCUUUGUAUGCAAGAAGGUGGUACUCCUGCACAGGCUAGCAAGCUUAACAAUUAAAAUUGCUAAAAACAAAAAAAAAAGCGGUCGAGUGGCACAACCUUACCUUAAUCUUCGCAAUGCUGAUUUGACGACCGACACUGGCAAGCAGCCCAAACGACGCAAGCGCCCAGCCAGGAGCGGCCAGCGCAGAUUACGAUCGAGUGGCACAACCUUACGACAACAUAGCAAAGAAAUUCCAUGGUAAGAGUUUUUAAUUUCAUGAUGGCCUAAUAACGAUAAGCGUUGACGAAGGUAAUGUCAUAGGGAAAAAUGAGAACUAACCUUGUGGUUGCAUAGUUGUAUAUUUUGCACAACCCAUUAGUGUUUCAUGGCUGAUCUUGUUUGCUUUAGGUAAAUUGCCUUCCAGGUUUCGUAAGAUGCAACCUAUUAUGAACCAAUAUGCAUAGUACCUUACAAAAUGAAUACCAAAGUCACUGUGACAUUCAGUAGGAGAGUAAAAAAAAUAGGAUUAUAAUCUUAGAUCAUAUCAUCACUCUGUAGAAAAUGAAGUAAAAGUAAUGCAUAAAGUAUAGGUACAUUGCAUGCAAAUUUUGUACCAAUCUAGUAGUAAACUCCCUUCAUGGUCCACAAAAGAAUUGAACAAUAGCUCUCAGGAGUAGUUUACGGGAAAGAAAAAUAGAAUACUAUACACAAAAGGUCAGGAAAGGCACCGAGGAGACGGGGACUCCAGGUUUAACCAUCUGGUCUUUAUUUUGUGACGUGGCCAACAACCAUCUCAAGUGUGGUAUAGUUACUGUAUCAUCACACCCUACAUUGGUUCGAUUGUAGAAUUGUCAGUAGAUAAAAUGGUAAACACGCCAUCUAAAUCCUCACAACUAAAUCAUUAUAAAUGAUUGUAAGAAAUAAGAAAGAGGGGGAGUAUCCGAGAGAGUUUGAUAUAUUCCAUCAAGAAAACCGCAACAGCAGCCUCUAGCAGGAGUAGAUGAGGGGAGGAUGAGGUGAGGCGGCAGUGCGCACGGCGGUAAAUAGGGUGCGGGGUAGGUCACGACCGGUGGAGGUGGGGAACAGCGGCAAACAUCAAUUCUUUGGCCUCCUGCGUGUCUCCUCCCAUCGCUGCCGAGCUGCUACUACCCCCACCAGUGAGCUCAACACAGCUGACGACCCUGGAUCUACCACAUCGAACCAUCAACUUUGGAUCUGGAUUAGAGAAAGAGGGAAAGUGUACACAAAGAAGGGUGGGUGAGCAGGGCCAUCACCUGUGGAGCUCACCGCUGGGGAACACCGUCCGGCAUCGACACCGCUAGCGCUUGCCCACUACUUCGAUUGACCAGAUCUGCCAGCAAGGAGGCCGUGGCUGCCGGAUUGGGCACCCACGGCCUCCCCUUCGAGCGGGUGUCGGCGGUGGCGUAGCAAGGAGUGAAAAGCAUCCACAGCAGGGAGGAGAGCAGGAGGCAGCCACGGCGGUGCAUCGCACAGGAGAGGGCGAGAGAGAUGAAAGGGGGCGAUGCAGAAAAGCUAACCAUCUUCCCCUCCUCUCCUUGCCCUCCCUGCCCCUCGGGCGAGCUCUCCUCCUCCCUUCUAGCGCUGCCCGCGGCGGUCGCCGGAGGACGGAGGCAGCGAGGUGUCGCAUCCAACCAGUGGUGAACGUGCACCCGCUUGCCAGCCACACGGUCGGCACCACUUCUUAGGACCUAUUUUUGACAGAGGCCAAAAAAAAAAGAAAAAAAAAGAAACUAAUUUGCUUUCUUGUUUGCUGCCGCUUUGCUCUUGCGCUCCCGCCGUCGCUCUUUACUGUAUGACGAUGUCGUCUUCAUCGGGCACCGUUUCUAUUCCUCGUUGUCCGGUUCUUUCUGAUGGUGUCAACUACAGUCAUUGGGCUCAGCACAUGCAUCUUCACAUGCGUGGUCAGCGUCUUUGGGAUAUUUUGUCUGGUGAGCUGCCCUGCCCGCCUUGCCCCAAUGCUCCUCGUAUGCCACACUUUCCGCUCAGUCUUCUGCCGAAGACAAAGCGAAGGCGCAAGAGGCGUACGAUGAUGCUAUGGAAGAUUAUCAAAAUCAGUAUGCUCUGUAUAAGGCUUGGUUAGAUAAGGAUGCUCGUGCUUCUGCUAUUCUUGUGGCUAAUAUGGAGGUUCAUCUCACUGGUGCUGUGGUUACUCUUGCUUCUGCACAUCUUAUGUGGACACACUUGCGAGACCGUUAUGCGCCUACUUGAGAUGCUCUUUAUCUUGCUAUGGUGCGUCAAGAGCAGUCAUUGCAGUAGGGGGAUGCUACAGUUGAUGAGUUCUAUACACAGUUGACUUCUAUCUGGCGUCAGCUUGAUUCCUUGGGACCAGCGAUCUGCCACACUUGUCAGUGUUGCCAGCAUCAGCGUGCUCACAUGGAUCUUCGUCGCAUCUACGACUUUCUCACAUGUCUUUGAUCAGAGUAUGAGUCAACACGUGCCCAGUUGCUUGCUCGACACCCUCGGGUUACCAUGGUGGAGGCUCUUACAGAUAUUCGUUCAGAAGAGAUUCACCUUCGAGAAGCGGGUAUUCUACCGCCUCCCUCUUCAGUGUUAGCCGUUCGUCCUGAAGCCUCUUCGGUUUCUUCGAAGUCGAGUACAACUCCCUCCUUUACUUCGCCGGCACGUACUUCUCCGGUUGUGUCCUCUACUAGCAGCCAUCUUCACUUCACCUAUUGUGAUAAAGAUGGACAUGUGGAGUCCUUUUGCUUUCGGAAGAAGAAGGAUUUACGGCGUGGUCGUUCCUCACAGGUUACUUCGGGUUCUUCUCAGAAGAGUACUGGAAGUUCUUCUCAAAAGAGGACUGGAAGUUCAGAUACACAACGCAUAAACGUACCACAGGAGUAGACAGAGAUUUUUCGGUUUUUUUUUAACCUUUCCAACUUCAG
rnacentral:lncRNA from 1 species